rnacentral:lncRNA from 1 species
AGGUGACCAGAUGGUUUUCUUAAUCCUGAAUGUGGUCGAGGCAAUCGGAGUGCUCAUGACAUUCAAACCAUUUCUAGUUCAAAGGCGUCGAUAGAGGAAAAUCAGUCUGAUUCAACUCCAGGCCGUUAAGAUUAUCACCUCGAUCAGUAUGACUCUUUGGUAGCAUUGCACCUGUCUCCAUUCAUUAUAGGGACGAUAACUUGCAUCCUGUAGUAACCCGUUUGGGGGGGUAUAUUAGAUCAACAACAAUGUGCCCUGUAUCUACUGCAUUUUGUACACCAGUAAAUUACUGCCUACCUGCAUAUUGUUCGACAUAUUUGGUUACCAAUGAGCAGUUCAUGAGUUAGCAAAACUCUUGUUUGAUGUCUAAUUCUUUUUUUGUUUCACUUAAUAUGGGGCAGCUCUCGAUGAAUGUUUGUGAACAUGACUUUAUCAUCUUCAUUUAAUUAGUUACAUUAUGUAUAGUCUUAAUUGAAAUCUUAAAUCAUGAAACCUAUCUUUCAUGUUCUUUCUAACUGAAUAUUUGCUAGAUGAAAAUUUCAAAAAGAAACCAUCAACUAAAUAUCGGUAAUCGACACUAACUACAAGAUAUUUACCACUCAUUGUUUGAUUAACUUUUUUCUAAUUCUAUAAGUAUCUGAUUAGGUAACAACUAAUAAUUAUGUUUGGUGAUUGAAUGAGAAGAGAGUUAAGCAAAUCAAAGCAAGCCCCUGUUAUUUGAAAUAUUUUAAAGAUUUUUUUUUUAUUUUGAUGUAUCUACUUGAUCUUUGGCUAGCUAGGUUCAAAAUAUUAGCUCAACUUCUACUUUGAAAGCCAGAUUUCAUAUAUGCAUAAUGGAAGUUUUGGAAGAUUAAUGUUAUUGUACUGGUACAGCUAGCUAGAUUAAGGUAGUAAUUUCAUUCCAAAAGCCCUUGAUCCAAACUACUUCUAAAAGGACUUAUUAGUUUUUAGAGCAAUCUUGAAAGUUCAAGGAAGUGAAGUAGAUCAAGAUAAAUAUAUAGUUUUGGAUUUAAUUAAAUGAAUAAAUUUAAUAAUUGAAUUUAACAUAAAAAGGAGUUUCCAAAGUUUAAGGAAGUUUAAACUUUUGUUUACUUUGCAGUUCCUACUUUUCAACUAUUCUAUGUUACUUAUACUUGUUUGGUUCCUGAAAAAUUUGAGGGAAACUAUGAAGGAAAGAUGAUUGGAGCCAAAAUAUGUGCUUCCAUAGCAUAUGUAUAAUAUGAUUUAUGCAAUAUAAAAAGCUCAAAUCAUCCAACUUAACUCAAAUUGAUGUUAAGACCUAAUUAUGGAUCUAACUGCUAUUUUGAGCCUAAUUUUAGAUUGAAGGAAUGAAAAAAAAAUGAUAAGUGUAGAAGUCAUUAUCAACCAAGGGAGCAAAAGGGGUUAAACAUGCAUAAUUGAGAGACCCGAGACUUGUGAGCCAUGAAGAGUCCAAACAAGAGUGUGAUAAGCAACUUGAAAUACUAGCAAUGAAUGUUAUGAAGUGAGAUAGAGGGCAAACAACCAUAAUGGAGGAGGUUCGAAUAAAAUGCAAUCAAGUUCACAUGGGAAUUUAGAACUCAAAAUUUGGCAACAACACAUACUCUGACUUUGAGAUAAAAUUUAGAGCACUUCUCGAUGUCAAACUAAUAUAUGUGUAGAAUACUUAAAUUACCUUUCAAAUAAAAAUUAGGCUUUGUACAACUUAACAAAAAGAUGUUGGAAACUUAUGAAAAUUUGAUGCAAAAAGUGCUAAAUGUGUGCUUAUAGGCUAUUCACUCAAGCUAAAGUCCAUGGAGUUUUCCUUAAUGAAGGAAGAACAAGCUUCAAGAACAAUGACUAAAUCUUUAAAUGUAAUGAUAAAUGAUGUUUUUAGGAGAUGGUCUUCGUUAUGAAUUAGGAUAAAUUCCAAUUUCCAUCCAAAUCUGGAAUAAGUCUUAACUAUGUUAUCUUAACUAAGGGUAAUAAGUAGAUAGAGCUAAAAUCUAGUUUGGUAGAUGGAGGAAUCUGGUUUGGUAGAAUUGCUCCUUAUAUCUAACUUCUAGCAAUGCAUUUGGCUAGAUGGACCACUAAAUUUUGCUAGCCAACUUCAAUCUUUGAAGAUUCUCCCUAAUUUACUUCAACUCAACUGUCCAUAUGAUUUGUUCUCAAGAUUCCUAGCUCAUGAUUUGUUCUCAAGAUUACUAGCUCAUGGAUGAUAUAAAUAGCAUUUUCAUCUCGUUAAGAGGAGCUUGUGGUAGUCUUUUGUAUUUCUUUUCUAUUUUACGGUUUUUACCUUCUAUACUUUCUUUUUCUUGUAGAAACUCUAAGGUUAUGUUUGUUCCCAAAAUUUUUGAGGGAAAUUGAAGGGGAAAGAAGAUACAAAAGAAAUGUAGAAGGAAAGAAAAAAUGAAAAAAUAAAUAAAAAAAUAAAUUAAAACUCAAUAAAUUAUUUUUAUUUGUUACUUCAAGCUCGUUUUAUUUAUUUUAACUCAUUGACAUAAAGAUUAGAUAAUUUAAAAAUGUAUAAUUUUUUAAUUAAUUUUAAUUAUAUAUAUAUUUUUUUAAUAUUUUUUAUAGGACCACCAAAUAUGAGAAAAUCAUUUUCUAUAGUAUUUUUUUUUUCUUUCCUAAGUAUUUUACAGAAACCAAACAUACCCUAAAAUCAUGCUUGAUUAAUUGAAUAUAACAUGUGAUAGGAUAAGAAAAGAAAUAUUAUAUCUUAUUUUAUAUUUGGUUGGUAUUAGGAUAAGAUAAGUUAUCCUAUCACUUAUUACAUAUUCAAUCAAACAUAGGAUAAGAUAAAUAGUAUAUGAUAUAUUCCACCUUUUUUUUUAUAUAUUCAUUCUACAGAGAAUAUGUUAAUCUUAUGCUAAGAUAUAAGAUAUGCAUAUUUUAUGUAUCUUAAUUAAUUAAUUAUCUUAUAUUACUUAUUUCGCAAAAUAAAACUUUUAUUAUAAAAUUAAAUUUGAGAUUAAAAAAGAAAAAAUAAAAAUAUAUUAUAAAAUAAUAUUAGUAUAUGUAUUAUUUAAUAUAUAUAUAUAUAUAUAUAUAUAUAUAUAUUCAUCUAUGUAUAGAUGUAUGCAUGUAUAUUAUUUCUAUGUAUUGAAUAACACAAUAUAAACGAUUUUUAUUUAUAAAUUUUAAAUAUUUUAAACAUGAAUAUACUUAAACAUAAGAGAAAUUUUAUUUUUAAAAAUAAAGAAUAUUGGAAUGUAAUAUUCUUUUUUAUUUUAAACAUUGAAAAAUAAUACAUAUUCCAUAUAAUUUUUUAUUCAUUUCACAAAUUAAAUAUGAACAUAACAUAACCUAAUAUAUCUCAUUGGACAUGAUACCUUAGGAUGUUAUAUCUAUAGAUAUAAUAUCUCAUUGGAAAUCAUAUCCUAAGACUAAUUCCAAUCUUCUUUUACAUUAGCAAAGGCAUGUAUAAUAAGGGUCUUUUCUUGCUCGUUAGCGCCCCCGUACCCCUAUUAUAUUUUUUUAGUCAUAAAGGAGCUAAAAGAAAUUGGACAACCUUACUAAGGGAAAGAUGCACUCAAGCAUGCGAAGAAAGCACUUUGAGCUUCCCUUCUCUUAUCGAAGGGGUGCUCUAUGAUCAAACUUCAAAUAUCUCAUAAAGUAGGGGCAUCAAAGCUAAAGCUUGUAGUUUAGGGAUGCGCAAGUGCUUAACGCCUCAUACAAGGGGUUAGCGCACAAUGGCUUUCUCUAAGAGGGGCUUACUUCUUCAAGCGGAGCUUGCUACUUUUCAUUUUGAUAGGAGUAGGUUCCUUCUUGUUCAGGGUCAUUAGAUGAGAGAUCUUCCUCCGACUCUAAGAAAUUGGUCAAGCGGGAGGCUACCCUCAACUCAUCUCUCUAUCUAUAAAAAAAAACCCCUCCCCCAAGGAGAGUAGAAGCUCUGGAUGAGUAUGUCCUGGAUUCUUGGAUUCAUUCUCGUCCUAAUCCGUCAUGGAAUUUUCAGAAUCUACCAAAACAUUCUAGGAAAGGGCUUGUAAUGAUUUUCUCAAAGAUCACAAGGUGUUGAAGUGGCAGGAUAGGGGGAAUCUAUAGGUUUUUGUGAAAGAGAUGUUCUUAAUAUACACAUCAUAUCAUAUCCUAUCCUAUCCUGUCAACCAAAUGUAACAUAAAUCUUUGCAAAAACUAAGGAAAUCACCUAUCACCAUAAGUGUCUAGCUUUCUUCAAGGUUGUGUGAUGGAGGAUCUUGUAGGAGAACCUAUUUAGGUGAUAAUUGUAAUGAAUUUUCUUUGAAAUUUAGUGAAUCAAUUCAAGAUUUAAUCAUUUAGUUCUGAUUUUGGGCUUAUGAUUCAUGUUUCUUUUGCUUCAUACUUGGUUGCUGAUUGCUUGUUUUAUUCUCUUAAUAUUUAGGCAACUUAAUUUUGAUAUUUCAAUUACUUAAAUUUUAAUAAUAGAUUUAAUACAAUCAAUAGGUUAUUGGAUGAAAAUUGCUAUCAAAUUUUUGAGCCCUAGAUGUUCCUCAUGUAUAGGAGACUAAAUUAUAUUUGGGUCAUUCUUGUUGAAAAUCUCCCAUAAGCCACACUUAAGUAUUUAGUUUUGUGUGUUUGCUUAAGAAUCAUGAAAAAUCAGAUAAUGGACAGCAGACCAACAAGUGAAUCUAGGCCCUUUGUCAUUUUAUUAGGUUUUGAAUUUCUUAUGUUUUUUUUUGUUGCCAUCUAACCUUAUUUUGCUCUCUUUUUCAACCGAAAUUUUAACCAAUAUCCUAACAAUUUCACAAACAGCAACCGCUUGGUCAUUCUCACACACUCCAAAGUGUUACCUAACCUUCACUCUCUUGGGCAUGACACCCAAUAUUCACUGGAUUAUUACAAUCCGAAGUUGUGCUUAGGGCUUGACAUACUAGUAUGAACAACUUAGUAACACAAGCAACAUGCAGGUCCUUGCUCUUUGAUGUUGGAUAUUCCAAUGUUGACAUGUUGAUUUCCCAUAAAUCAUAUUGAUAGGAGAGAGGAAAGAUAUGUAGGCAUGUUGAUUCACUAAGCCAUGACCUUUGGAUAAAUUCAAAGCCAUAAGUCAUUAUGACUAUGCUUAGUUUCUAGAAAAUCCAAGAAAAAGAAAAUAAAGAGGAAAAGUAGAAGGAAAAUAAAAAAAUGAAUUUAAAGUCGAUACAUUAUUUUUAUAUGGUUCUUCAAAGACUUAUUUUCUUCUAUUAUAUAAAGAUUAAAUAAUUUUAAGAUACUUAAAUUUUCAUCUAAUUUUAAUUAUAUUUUAUUUUCUUUCGUAUUUUUUUUAUAGUAAAACCAAAUAUAAGAAAAUCAUUUUCCUUAAUUUUUUUUUUCUUUUCUUAGUAUUUUUUUGAAACCAAACAUAGUCUAUGUGUUUUACACAUGAUCAUAUGCUUUAUUUUCAUAUGUAAUAUGAAUCCUAUGACAUGUAUGUAUUAUUUCAAGGCAUGUAAUUAUUCUAACACUUACUUGUCAUGACUUGUAGGAAUUUAUUUAAAAUAUUUGGUUAAAAUGGAUGAAAUAAUCUCAAAAUUGUGAAUCUAACUAUUUCCAUGUUUUUUCUCAAAAAGUAACUCAUUUUUUAUAUAAAUACAUUUUAUCAUUUCAAGUAUUUACAUAUAGGUUUUCAAACAAAAUGUUAUUUUUAUAAGAAAAUAACGAGGACAUUUUUGUCAAUAUGAGGCAAAAAAAGGACAAAAUAUUAAAUUUCAAAAAUUGGGCUUUCAUUGACCCUUUUAAUCAAAUAACCUAAUUUAUUUCUAAUGUUUUAAUUAAGUAGCUUGAACCUUAGGUUUAGAGAUGUGUUACAAACCGAUAGGUAAGCAAUAAGUUUGAUAACUAUUUUUUCCAAGUAUGGAUUUUUUAUAUGUUUAAUCCUUGCAUUCUAUAUUUGUCUCUAUGUCAUCAUUACUCAAUUGUAGGAGGGUCAUGUAACUAGUGGUAUUUUUAGUAUUAUUCUUAUGUUAGGCUGGAUUACUUCAAUUAGAUAGUAAAUUUUUGUUAUACCAAAGAUUUGUGCAUUGGUACCCAUUGCUUUGCCUAAUAUACAUGAUGUUAGCUUCUUUGAUUUGGCCCAAUAGAAUUAGGUCGUAAGCCUCAUUAUUAAAUAUCUAAGGGGAAGUAUUAAUCAUCAAUUAUAGUCAAAAUAGGAUGUGUUGAAUGCUAUCUCUACAUUUAUUUUAUAAAUUUUUAUAUUGUUAAAAUGUUUUGAAUCAAUGAUUGAUUAUGUAUGUAAAUGCAUAAGUCUUUUAGGGUAUGUUUUGUAGUAAUUCUAGGAAUCAUUUGUAGUCUAAAAAGUGUUUUUGAAAAAAAAAAUUAGAUAUUUGAAAAAAAAAAUUAAAAUACUUUUAAAAAUCUAUAAAAUCACUUGUAGUGUUGGAAAGUCACUUAUAGUAUUUUUUGAAAAAAUAUUUGGGGCCUAUUUAAUAAUUGUUUUUGAAAACAAUUCUAAAUACUAGUUUUUAUAACAGUUUUUGAAAAUUAUUUUUAAAUUUUUAUAAAACAAAAGUUUGCUUGGAAAUGUAAAAUGUUUUUAAUAUUUUUAAAUAUAUUUUAAAAAUAAUUUUAUAUCUAGGAUUUUAUUUUUAAUCAUUUUACAUAUUUGUAUAAUUAUUUCUUAAAACAACCCUUAGAAAAUAAGUGAAAAUAAUAUAAAAUAACUAAGAAUGAGUUUGAUAAUAAUUUUAGAAAGUGUUUUUACUUUUUAUUAACAUUUCAAAAAUUUUAUAUUUCAAGUAAUAAAAAGACUAAAAACAUUUUCUAAAAUCACUCCUAAACGUACUCUAAAAGAUGUUAUCUAAAAAUACUAUAUUUUAUAUUCUUAAGAUCAGAAAAUAGAAAAAUGAUUUUUAUUCCCAAAUGUGUUUUCUAUAUUUUUUGUUUUGAAAAAUAGAAAACUAUUAUAAAAAACAAUUCCCAAAUAGGUCCUUGAUAUGCAAUUCUCCUAAAAAUACCUUCAAUGACAUUUCUAUUAAAAACACUUUGAAUAAAAGCACUAUUAAAUGCACUCUUAUUUUGAUAACAUUUUCAAAUAAGCAUGGUAUGGAUGUAUUAUUUACUUAAGUCUGCUUGAUCAGUCAUGAAGUAUUCUAACUUUUAGGUUGUAAAAUGUCCAUCAUUAAGAAACUGUAAGAGCCUCUUCAUGUAAAAUAGAACCUAGGGUUUGUGAGAGAAGCAAAGUCUUGUGUGCAUGUAAAUUAUAUUGACUUCAUCUUAUAUUUGGAUUUACAUGAAAACUAAUUAGUUCAUAUUCAAGAUUAAAUAGUGAAGAUUUACUGAAAUGAUUUAAGAUUGAUUGAUUUUGCCUUGGAUUCAAAGUUGCAUUCAUUGAAGAGUAGAUUGUGGUUCAUGGAGUUGCAUACCCAUAGAGUUAAAAUCAAAUAAAUAAAAGGCAGCCAACAAAUACCUUAUAAUUAGACUUCUAAAUAUUAAUUACUAAGCAAGCUUUUUACAAUAUCCAUAACCAAUUAGAAGACAUUAAUAGUGGUGAAGUAAUGAGAUGAUUAAAAGUGUGUUUGAUAGUGAUUUUAGAAAGUGUUUUUAACAUUUUUAACACUUCAAUUUUUUUUUAUUUUUUUAAGCAUUAAAGAUGCUAUUAAUAAUUCCUAGAAUCAAUAUCAAAUACGCUCGAAGAGUCCAUUUGACAGUAAUUUUAAGAAACAUUUUUAAUCUAAAAAGUGUUUUUUUUUUUUUAAAUAGAAGAUGUUUGAAAAAAUUUAGGUAACACUUACAAAAAUUUGAAAAAUCGCUUAUAGUGUUUUAUGGAAAAACAUUUGAUACAUAAUUCUCCUAAAAACACUUUUAGAGAAAACACUUCUACUAAAAACACUUUGAGUACAAAUACUCCUAAACGCACUCUAAAAAAUUAGAAUACUAAUGGAAUUAUGUGAUGCAAACCACUUUCAAGAACUGCCUUAUUCCCAUAUAAGUGAAAUGCCACACCUCAUUAAGAGUGUCUUGGUAGUAAUUAUAGAAAAUGUUUUUAGUUUUUCUAAUACUUGAAAAUUUUUAUCUUUCAAAUGUUAAAAGGAUUAAAAACGCUUCCUAUAAUCACUGACAAACAAACUCUAAAUCCAACAAAAACAAACACAUAAAUACACAUACAUCAUGACCUAAUGCACAUUGAUCUAAUAAAGACAAACACAUCGAAAGAAGCACUUUAUUUUCUAAGUGCUUCUUGCUAAUCAAAUAUGACAUGAACCAUAAGUAGGUAGAGGGGUAGUAAAAACCUUCAAUAUGUUUGGAAGUCCUUUCACAAUCAUCUAGUAUAACCAUUGGUGUACAAGAUGCACUUGAUACAUAGCACAUUGUUGUUGUUCGAAUAUAUUGCAAUUGUUCCUUGGGUGCAAGAUGUUAUCAUCAUCUUCAUUAAAAUGAAUAAAGAGAAAUACCCAGCUACCAAAGAAUUAUGCUGGAAUUGAUCCUUAACUUAUUAGUAUUGAAUAAGAUUGAUUUUUCCUCUAUUGACUCCUUCGAACUAAAAAGGGUUUGAAUGUCAUCAACACCGCAAUUGCCUCAACCACAUUUAGUAUGAAGAAAAUCAUCUAGUCACCUGCAUAUGAAGAAUUGUAAGAAGUUUUCAAUAAAUAGGUGAAAAUUAGCCUUUAAGUUGUUUGACUGUAUUUAUUAAUUUUCUUGGAUCAUUCAAUAGCAACCCUAAACUUACUAUUUUACGAAGAUUUAAUGGCUAUGUUUUGAGAAAUUAUAUAUUACAAACAUAACAUGAUUAAGAGAGCAAAUGAGGGAGGAAAGAUUUAAAUACUGACAAGAGAUUUUAUUUUUUUUAUUUUUUUUAUUAUGUAGCAAAUAACCAUUAAGAGAAGACGAUGGUUUAGCCUAAGCCAUCAAAUGCCGAACCAAUAAAAGAUAUGCCAAAUAUGGUAAUUGAUUCACAUGACAAUUGACAAACUUUCCACCUUCAGAAAAAUUAAUACAACCUAUUGCAUAAAUUAUCAAGAAAAAAGAGGAAUUGAAUGACCAAAGGAGUCCAUUCCUCAUACAAAAAAAUCAACAAUUAUUUUGUGAUUUAUUAAACAAACGGUCAAGAAGAAGAGUUCUUUAAAGAGGAAUCAUCAUUUUGUAAAUUAUAACAAAACAAGAAGAAGAAUGCUAAAGAAGAAGAAGAAAAAUGAUAAAGCUAUAAUUUACAAAAUGAUGAUUAUUGUUCUACAGUAUAUAGGAUUUCCAUUAUCUUGAACCCAACCUAGAACUUAAGAAAAUAGCUUUAUCAUUUUUCAUGGUCUUUCAAAUAAGUAGAAAUGUUGAUGAAUCAAGUUUCAUAUAUUAUUAAACCUUUUCAUAAUACUUUUAAUUUUUUGAUAUUCCAAUGUCGAAUGGCAGGAAUGUGAGGAGUAUAUAUCAACUUGUAUUUAGAGUUUUUCUUUUUAAAGGAUUUGACUAUUACAACUUAUUGGGAAGUAAGGCUGUAAUUUGGAUUGGUUGAUCGAAUUGAUGGUUAAUUAGAAUACAACUCAAAUUAAAAAUUAAUCAAUCUAAACCUAACCCAACCCAAUUUCUAAAUCGAGGCCCUAAUCCAAUUUCAUCUUUGUAUGCUUAGAUUGAGUCCUAGUUGGUUGGAUUAAACUCGAUUGAUCGGAUUGAUCAAGUUGUAUUAGUCAAAAUCUAUUUAUAAUGAUUUUUAAAAACUUAUAUAUAUAAAUUAAAUAAUUAUAUAAUAUAAUUCCAAUUUGAUGUUUUUCUAAACAAUCUGAAAAGCAAUUAAAUAUUAUUAUAUAGGAUAAUAUUUAUAAAAAUGCUAAAUUAGGUUUAGGUUAGGCUUGGGAUAUUCAAACCCGAGUCUCACCCAAAUUGAGCUUGUAUUGAAAAAAGUUAGCCCUAGUCAAACUUUAAGUAUUGAAAAUGAUUGCCUAAACUUAUUCAAACAUUGGGUUAGAUUCGAAUUUGGUAUGAUUAAUCCACUUAAAUUACACCCCUAUUAGGAAGUAGGAUGGUCGUCUAAGAUGUCCUCUAAUAUUUGAUUUGUUGGGGCAUUUGUGAGAUUUAGGAACCGCUUGUUCUUAUUUAUUAUAUUUUCAAACUUUUGUUAUGAGGUAAAUUUUUAAUUGCACAUUAAUCCAACAUCAUUGGAAAUAAAUGAAUCAUUUUUAAUAUUUAUUUUGUAGUUUUUUUGUCUUCAUAUUAAAGAUGUGAAAUUGGAAGGAUAACUUCCCUUAAAAUUUCUAACUUUAUUAUAUGACUAUAAUUUUGAAAAUUUUAUCUUAUUCCUUAGACCUGAAGGUGGUAUGACACUCGUCUAAAACAAGGUCGUUCUAUAUACUCUUGCUUCUAAGAAUCAGGGUCCUAUAAAAGCAACAAAAUCAUACCUGGGAAGAAGGCAGCUCUCUGACGCCCUUGUGCCCAAGAAAAGCUACAAAUACCAGCAUUAUUAAAAAUAACCAAAUGGUACAAUCUUGUAGAAGGAAAAAUAACUUUUAAAUAAAGCAAUUGUUAUUUAAUAAAAUAAAUGGAAUAUAAUUUGGAUAAGAUGAAAUCAAGUGAGACAACAUUUAGGGAAAGUGGCUAAAUAUGACUCCCUAUCUACACUAAAUCAUUGGGAUCAAAGCUUUCAUAGGCCACUAACCCAAUGCAAACCUGCACUAUGAGUAGAACAACAGGAUUCUUGAUACAAGUUAAGGAAGGAGGGAAAGCAAUAAAAAAGAUGUCGAUAUCUAAACCUUUUGUGUUAGGAAAUGAUGGGCAAACAUGACAAGGAAUCAACUAGUGUAGAAGAGUAAGACUAUGCUUGGUUUUCAGAAAAUUUGAGGGAAAAUGUAAGGGAAAGAAAAUAAAGAGUAAAAGUAUAGGGAAAGAAAAAAUGAAGAAAAAUAAAAAAAUUGAAUUAAAGUUGAUAAAUUAUUUUUGUUUGUUACUUUAAACUUAUUUUAUUUAUUUUAACUCAUCAAUAUAAAGAUUAAAUAAUUUAAAAAUGUAUAAGUUUCUAACUAAAUUUAAUUAUAUUUAAUUUUCUUUGGAAUUUUUCCUAAGACAACCAAACAUGAGAAAAUCAUUUUCCUUAGCAUUUUUUCUUUCCUUAGUACUUUCCAAGAAUCAAACAUAACCUAAGUCCAUAAUUUCCUAGAUGGUUCAAUGGCAUCAAAAGUCAAUAUCCUAGGAGUGGAUUGAAAGCAAAUCAAAUAAAUGCUAUAUAAUUCGUAUAGGUGAAUAAAAAUUAGGAUUUUUUUUUCCUUGGAAGACGUUUUAUUUCUUAUGGACACAACUUGUUUUAAAGUAUGUAUCUUGUAUUUAAAAGACACAACCUCUUCCAAAGGAUGUGUUUGGUGUCUUAAGACACAACCCUUCAAAGGAUGUAUCUAGUAUUUUAAAGACACUUCUCUUCUAAAGGUUACCAUCAAAUUUAUAAAUAGGGACCUCCUAUGGCCAUUUCAUUCAUAAUUUUCUCCACUCUUUCUCCUUUAUUGUCAUUCAAGUCCUCUUUAACUUCAAAUCUAGUUAUUUAUCUUUUCUACCAAAUAUUUGGCACACAAAAGAGUACAAAUCACCAAGUGAUUUGUUAUUUCUUAUUAUUUGAAGUGCUCCUAUCAUAAGAAAAUUAUCAUUGUAUCCUAGGAAACAAUUGUCAAUAAACCAUAAGCACUUGAGUGAAACAAAUUUGUUUUAAGGACAUAAAGUCAAACUCUAGCCUUAAUCAACCUUAUUCGUAAGUUCCAAUUUUCUACUUCAUUUUAUUUGUAUAUUUAUUAUACAUACUUAUUAUUCAUAUAUUUUUCAGUGAUGUGGAUAACAAUCUUAAGGCCCCUUUUUAACCAAACUUCAUAAGGCCUUGUCCAAGUCAAGCUCAUUGGAGGGUAUUGACAAGAAGAAAGGAAUAAAAUUAUGGGAUUUAAUGAUAGAUCCUAAAAUUAUGGAUAUAAAUAAGAUUAUAUUUUAUCAGUAAUUAUAUUGAAUCUUCUCAUAUUAGUAGUUCUAUCUCUGCUUUUUUGGAACUCUCUUUCAUCAGCACCUAGGACUGAGUUUUUGUCAUCCUCCUUCUAGAUGUAAAUACAUAAUUAAACCAUGUAAAAUAUUAUUGUUUAUUUAUUUAUUUUUGUGGAUUACUUUUAUUAUCUACAAUAUUGACAAUCAACUUCCCCGACGAUUCAAAAUUCAUAUGCUUCUCGGUCUUUGACAAGGGACAAGGUCUAACUUUUAAGCAUAACAAGGAUCAAAGCAAGAUCUCAAAAUUUUGUUUUCAUUUUAAUAUGGAGUAAGAACAAAGUAUAGCGAUCCUUAAGUUUAGCUCCCAAACUAUACUCCAUAUUUUUGCCUUCCCACAAAGAUGGAGAUGGGAAUGAUAUUUCUGAGUCGUUGGGAAUCUAUGAUGUGCUGGUAUUCUAAUAUUCCAAAAUAAAUAGUGAAAUAAGACUAAAAAAACUUCAGUGCAAGACCCUUUGGAACUCAUUAUUUUGAUUUGAACAGUUCAUAACCCUGAGUAAGAGCUUUUAUGGAUUCCAGGCAUCAUAGUGAAAAUAUAACAGCAAAAUUAAUGAAAUGAAGAGAACACUCACAUUACACCUCCUCCAGCAGGACCUGCUGCUUUGAAAAGAGACAUUGUAGUCAUAGUGAUGCCAUUUGCAGCACCUCUCUGGUGUUGCUCCUGUUGGGGCAAUAUGAGUGACAAGUUAUCAUUUUGAAAAUCAAGUGAAAAUUGGAAUGAUAGAAAUGAACCUGGAGAAGCCCAGAAAAGAGUAUUACCACAGCUCUAUUUUGCAGAAUAAUCAAGCCAGUUCCAAUGGACACCUAAUCACAUUGAAAUUUUUUUACUAGUAGGAGAGACAUUACUAAUGAUCAUUUGAUUUGCCUACCUACAAGAGAAUAUUCAAGUUGUAGAUCAACUUACAGAUAAUACAUUCUUCAUCGCCGAUGCACAAUUCAAUGCCAAAGAGAGGCUGAACCCAGAAAGCAUGGCUAUAAGAGGGUAAAUUGCCAACAGAGGUAUAGACAAAACCUACAUAUUGGGAAUAGCAUUGUAUGCAGAAAAAAUAUAAAUGAAUAUGCAAGAAGAUAUUAAUUAGUUGAAAAUAGAGAAAGAGUUUAUUGAAUGUUCCAAGGUGUGGGAAACAUACACCGGCAAUGCGACAGAUGAUGAUGGGCCCAAGAAGCUUCUCCAAAUAUGGAUAGAGAGAAAGUUGGAAUACCAAAACCCCAAAACCUAAAAAUUGAAUAGAUGCCAGCAACUCAAUGUCUUGAAUACAUAUCAGACAAUACACUGAAUAACACACAAAAAAAAAAAAAAUAUAGGUCUCUCUAGGUGCACCAAUUCAACUAUAAGAUAUUGCCAACAUCUUAAAAGAAAUGGUUAAACUAUAUUUGGUUUCUAGAAAGUACUAAGGAAAGAAAAAAAAAAUUAAGAAAAAUAAUUUUCUCACCUUCGGUUUUACUAUGAAAAAUACAAAAGAAAAACAAAUAAACUUAAAAUUAGUAAGAAACUAAUAUAUUUAUGAAUUACUUUUUCAUAUAGAAGACUUAAAUAGGUCAAAUGAGUUUCAUGUAGGAUAUGAAAAUAAUUUAUUUACAUUAAAUCUAAUUUUGAUUUUCUUUUAUUUUUUCUAUUCUUCCAUUUUUUUCCCUCUAUUUUCUUUCUUUCUGCAUUUUCCCUCAAACUUUCGAUGAACCAAACAUAGCUUUAGAGUAUUGUCUCGCACAUUGCUAUAAGCAUCAUCAAAUGCAUACUUCUACAAGACUUACUUGAGACAAAUUUUCUUCCAAAUUCAACACUGGGUUCCACGAGUACAUAAUGCUUGAAUUGUCUCAAUUUCUAUUUUGGUUUAGUUUUAUAUCAUUGUUAUGUCUCAAUUUCUUUUAUUUUUCUAUCCUUCCAUUUUUUUCUCUCUAUUUUCUUUCUUUCUGUAUUUUCCCUCAAACUUUCAAGGAACUAAACAUAGCUUUAGAGUAUCGUCUCGCACAUUGCUAUAAGCAUCAUCAAAUGCAUACUUCUACAAGACUUACUUGAGACAAAUUUUCUUCCAAAUUCAACAUUGGGUUCCACGAGUACAUAAUGCUUGAAUUGUCUCAAUUUCUAUUUUGGUUUAGUUUUAUAUCAUUGUUAUGUUUCUUCGUAUAGAGAUUCCUGUAAAGAAAACUUCUUUUUGAGUUCUUAUAGGAAACAGAAUUCCUCAUCCAUAACAAACUAAGUUUGGUGACUCAAUUAUAAAACAAGUAGGAACUGCCUUCAAGUGUUUUAAAAAGUCAGUGGAGAUGAGAGAGAGAGAGAGGGAGAGGGAGAGAGGAAAACACCCUUCGGAGCAAGAAACAUGUUUUGCCUCUCUUGCAUAUGUUUACUUUCUUAUUUCGUUUUUGAGACAAAUAAUCUCCUAAUUAUGGAUGCUUUGCUAUCUCAGUCAUGACUUUAUCUCUCCAGCUGAUCAGCCAAUACAAAGGGUGUAAAAGAUUAGGGAAUCAUUUCUGUUUUGCUUUCCCAUUACAAAGGUUGAUUCCUUUUCUGGUAGCUAAAAUGUAGUGGCUUUCAAUUUAAUUGUCAAGCUUCUGAACAUGCAAAGCAUAAUAGAGUUCCUUAUUCAAAUAAAGGCUUAGCUUCUUUAUUACCAUUCUUAUACCUUCUUAUUAAUUCCACAAUUCAUUUUGUGGUACCAUGGUCUAUUACCUUGAGAAGAAAGGCAGGAUGAUGCUGCAAGCAGCAAGAAUCAAAGUUGUAGGCGCUUUCUAGGAGGCAUAAUUAUAAAACCAAGAUUAUAAACUGAUCCAGUUCCUAUCAUUCUAAUCAUUGAUGAUUUGAGUAUUAUUUUGAGCAUAGAUAUUAUUGCGAUUCUUCUUUCAAUAUGACAUCUCAAACUUUGGAAUUCAUCACUUGAUCUCAUCCUAAUAUUGUGCAUACGUAUCCUUUUCCAUAUAGCAAGAGCACUAUCAUACUUUAUGAUUUUAGCAUCAAACUAAAAACAAACAACUCACAUCCCUCUCACUCUUCUUCCUCUUUUAGUUUUUUUUUUCUUCUUUAAUUAAGCAAUCUAGAAUCAGAACCAUUUAGAUAUUCUCUCACGAGGAAAAAAGAAGCCCUUCAAAAUCUAUCUGAUUGAAGUUAUUUGAGCAUGAACAUCAGCAUUUCCAUAGGCAAAGAAGGAACAAGCAAGAAAUUCAGUCCAUGAAUGUGCUUCCCAAGCCUCAUGGUAGGAAUGCUGAAUGAAAUUCUUUCCGGCCAAUUUUGAUACCUUAAGCAUGGAUAACCAGAUAAUAGUAUACCUGAGAUUGCAAGAACUACACCUACAUCAUCCGUUGAAUAGCUCAAACCCCCAUAUUUUCUAGGACUGACAGCCCAUAAUGAGAAUAUCUGCAGAAGAAAAUUUUAGUUUCAUAUUAGAUAUAAGGAAAUUAGAUUAAGAUUCAAUGUCAAUAAGCAGUAGUAAAGUGGGGGCCACAAUUUGAGAUGGCCAAGUCUGUAUUCAUUGUUGGAAUAAUGGUGCCAAUGACAGAAAAACAUGUAGCCAAAGGAGGGGUUCGGUGGCAGAAAUAACAUCAUGGCAGCAUUGGCAGCGAUGAUAUGGUGGUAGACAAUGUGAUGACAAAAGCGGUGAUGAUGGUGGUAGCAAAAAAUCCAAAAUCUGGUAGAGGAUUUAGUCAUACAAAAGAAAUCGAGUUCUCCGCCAUUGAUUGAACAGCAUGAGAUUCUAAGGAAUCAAGCUACCACACUACAAUUGUCAAAGUAGAUAUAAACAUAAACUAUGUACACUGUUCAAUUCAAAUACCUUUCCAGAGUUGGUUAAAAUUUUCACUCAUUUUUUUUAUCAUUAAACAUAUAAAAUUGAAAAGAAUCAAUUAAAAAAAAUUCAUUCCUCUGAGAUAUCAAACAUGGAGAUUAUAAUGAAGCUCUGCAUUUAUGUUCCCUGUUUAUAAAAAGGACCAGAAAGUAACACUGGACAAAGUGUGUAAUAAGAAUGCAUUUAUUUAUAAAUGGAAGAAGGCUGUCUUUGAGGAGAUGAAGGCUUUAGAGAAGAACAACACAUGGGAAAAGGUGAAUUUGCUUGAAGGAAAGACGUCGAUGGGGUGUAAAUGGGUAUUCAUGGUAAAGUUUAAUUCUAAUGGAUCUUUGGAACGACAUAAAGUUAGGUCAGUGGCUAAUGGUUUUACACAAACUUACAUGAUAGAUUAUCAAGAGACCUUUGCUCCAGUUGCCAAGUUGAAUACAAUCCAAGUACUACUUUCUAUAGUUGUAAACUUGGAAUGGUCCCUACACUAGUUAAAUAUUAAGAAUACGUUUUUUAAUGGCAAUUUAAAAGAAGUCUUCAUGGAUGCUCUAGUGGGUUUUUCAGGAAAGCUUUGGAACCAAAGUAUGCAACUUGAGGAAGUCUUUAUAUGGUCUAAAGCAGUCUUCGAGAACAUGGUUCGAAAGAUUUACAAGGUCGGUCAAAAAUCAAGGCUAGAGUCGAGGAUAAAUGGAUCAUACAAUGUUCAUGAAGUAUAUUGGAGGAGGUAAGAUAACCAAUUUGAUCGUGUACGUAGAUGACAUCAUCCUUAUUAGAAGUGAUGAAGCCGAGAUAACAAGAUAGAAGAAACGCCUUGCAACUUAAUUUGAGAUUAAAGGCUUGGGGUCCCUACGAUAUUUUUUGGGAAUAGAUGUCGCAAGAUCAAAAAAGGGAAUCAUAGUCACAAAGAAAGUAUGUUAAUUUAUGUUAGAGAAACCAAGCAACUGAGGGUACAAACCAAGCAACACCCCAACAAAUCCAAACCUCAAGUUUAGAGAAACAAUCGAGAGAAUGGCAGUUGAAAUUGAAGGUACCAAUGACUUGUAGGGAAGUAGAAUUUCCCGCACCUCUUUACUUUGAUAGCUCAUAGGAAGGCGACAAUAGAAGAAAUGUGGGACCGGAAUUUUGGAGGAGGAGGGUGGAAUUUGAGGUUCAUUAAGGAUUUUAACGAUUGAGAAUUGGAUAUGGUAGACAACUUGCUUCAUGAGUUGAAGGGCCACAAUAUUAUACCUGACCUAAUUGUCCUUAAUUUCCCUAUUUUGUUAUGAGCUUAUUAAUUUAUCUAUUUUCUCUAAGACUUUCUUGAGUCCAUGAUUGUGACAAAGUGUCAGCUCAACAUCUUUGAAUUGUUGUCAUUUCUCCCUCAUUAUGUUUUAGAAAAUUUAAAAAAAAAAAAAAAGUGAAAAACAAAAUUAGUAUUUAUAUUUUUCCCAAUAUAUGGUUGUAGGGAAUAAGUUUUUCUUUGUCAUUAAUUGUUGAUAAAUAAGAAUUUUAUCCCCUUCCUAACCAGAAAUAAAUCUAUAAUAUUAAUCAUAUUUCCUUUUCAAAUCCAUUCACUUGACAAAACCUUACUUUGGGAGAGAAAUUUGGAAAGAUAUAAAGAUUAUAUGAUCAAAGAAUAUAAAGCUAUGUCGACAACUAUUUUCGAAAAUAAUUUUUUGUUUUCUAAAAAUAAAUAAAAAUACAUGUUUGACAAACAAAAAACUAUUUUUUAUUUUUUAUUCUUAAGAAUAGAAAAUAGUGUUUUUAGAUGACAUAUUUAAGGUCUGUUUGGUAAUUGUUUUGGAAAACGAUUCUAAAAAUAAUAAUUUUUAAAAACAAUUAUAUAACUUUUGUAGAACAAAAGUCUGUUCGGAAACCUAAAAUAUUUGAAAUAUAUUUUAAAAAUAAUUUUUAUAUUUAGUGUUUUAUUUUUAAUUAUUUUAUGUGAGCACAAUUAUUUUUUAAAACAACCUUUAGAAAACAAGUGAAAACAAUAGAAAAAAAAUUUUAAAAGAUGUUAUUUGAAAACACCUUAUUUUCUAUUAUUAAGAAUAGAAAACAAAAAACAAUUUUUGGUUAUCAAACAUAUUUUUUAUUUUUUUGUUCUAGAGAGCAUAUAAGUGUUUUAAAAAAUAGUUCCCAAACAGACCUGUAAUUAUUUUCAGUUGUUUUCACAUAUUCUUUAAGGAAUGUUGUAAAAAAAAAUUAAACAAACAUGUAAACUAAUUUAAAAUAAAGUACUAAAUAUACAUAUUUUUUUAAAACAUAUUUAAAAAUAUUAAAAAGAAGUUAAAAAUAUUUCAAGUUUUCAAACAAAUUUUUAUUUUAUAAAACAUCAAAGAAUAGAUUUCAAAAACUUGUUUUUAACAAUUGUUUCUUAAAAUUAUUUUAAAAAACAAUUAUUGAAUAGAGCCUAAAAUGCAUUGGCUUGAGACUCAAAAAUAUGUGAAGCAAUAAUCAAUUUAGCAUCAAGACACAUGUGCCACUCUUAUGAUAAGAAUGGGCCAACUUUUUUUGUGGGUAUUAAUUCUUUAUGGACACAUCUCUUCCAAAUUUUUAGUCUAUUCCCAAACAUUUUUUAAGUAUUUUUGUUGAAUGUUGAUAGGAAUAAAUCAAUUGGGUUUGGGAAAUUUUGCCCUUUUUGUCUUUGACUUUUUGCAUUUGGGUUGAGGGAAAUAAGUUACCAACUAAGAUUGUGUUUGACAUUGAUUAUGAGAAGUGUUUUUAAUAUUUUUAAUACUUGAAAAAUAAAAAAUCUCAAGUGUUAAAAAGAUUAGAAACGCUUUCUAGAAUCACUAUCAAAUGCAUUCCAAUUUUUCAAUAAAUUUGCGAACAUAAAUUCUGAAAAAAGCAUUCAAAUAAGAGUUGAUUUAUAUUAAAAUAAAUAUUAUUAUUUUAAUUUGGAAGAAAAAUAAUUUUUUAAUUUGAAGAAAUCUAGGGCGCAAUUGUGCGUGUUCCAUGUGGGUUUGACUACUUUUUUGUCCAUGUUCUACUUGGUAGACCCAUGCUUUUGAAUUAAAAGUUCAAUUAAUCAACGAUCACAAGCAUGUCAUACUUAAAAACAAUUUACUUGAUUUUUAAAAUCUUAAAAUAAGUAAAUAUGUAAGAAGGUAUGUAAAAAGUCAGUCUUUGGAUGAUUUUUGAGGGCUAAUGUUUGCCUAGUAUUGGAAGGUUACAAGGACAUUAAGAAGAUUUUCACCAUGGAACUUUGUAGAAAUCAAAAUUUUUAGUAAAAUAAAUUAUUAUUAAAGUUGUUCUUAAAAAAAAUGUGGCUUCCCAAUUUAAUAAAAUUUGGGAUCAACAAGUAAGAGGUCUUACACACACUUGACAAAUAACAUAUAUUAAAAAUGUGACACGUGAUGAAGUUUAGAAGACUACAAAUUUAGUCUUCCAAAUAAAAUUGAAAAUUUCAAUUGUAGUCAAAGGAGAAUUAAAUAAUAAUAAUAAAUAUUCUUUUGUUGAUAAAUUCUUAAAAGAAACAGAUAUUUUAAUUGAAGUCAAAAGAAAAUAAAAAAAUAAGUAAAUAUUCUCUCGUUGACAAAUUUUUUUAAUGAAGAAGAAGGCAAUUUAUUAAAAUCAAGCAAUUAAAUUUUGAGGAAUUCCAAAAUUUAAUUCCCUAAUUUCACCUAUAAAUAGGGGUAAUUUCCUUCAAUGGAGGAACUUCUUCAAUUCAACAAAAUGAUUUUACAUGAGAAAAAAAGGUUUCACAAAGAAGAAAAAGGCUUUAAAUAUCUCCCUACAAGUCUAACAAAUUACGAAAGUGCUAGACACGCGAUCCUUGACUUUCAAUGAGUUCAUUUGAGAAUAAGUCGGGUGUGACCCUCAAUCGAUCUCUAAACUCAAAGAAAUAUUUUCAUCAUCGUCUUCUAAAUUGUGAUCAAGAUGAAAAAAAUCAUAGGGAUAUAUUCUUUUGUAAAAGAAUAUUACCACAAAGAUUGUACCCCAUAAUUUAAUAAUUUUAAUAAAAUUUUUGUUUUACAUAUUUUGCCAUAAUUUUGCUUAUUUUGUAUGAAUUCAUGAAAUUCAUGCAUAAAAACUCAUUUUUAUUAUGUUGCAUUAUUAUAUUUUUGAAGAGUUUUAAAAUGUGAAUCUCAAUAGUGGAAUACACCUAGAGAAGGGGAGGGGAGGGGAGGGGGGAUGAAUAGGUGUUUUGACUAAUUAAAAAAAAAAUCUCAACUCAAAUUAGCAAACCUUAAAACUUUUUGAAUAUUUUUCUUCUCUUCACACAAUAUAAAAAACACAAAUUAUAAAUAACAUGUAUAUAUGAAUGUAACAAAACUCCCCAACAAUAUUAAAAUGCAAUUCACAUGCACAUGAUCCAACACUCCUAAACUCAAAUCAACUUAAACUAAAUCCUGAUAAAAACAAGAUCGAUAUAUCUCAAAAUGUCAAUGAUCAACAUUUAGAAACAACUUCAAAGAUGAUUCAUAGCCAUUUCUCUUCACCAUUCAAUUAAAUAGUACACAAUCAAAAUUAUAAUAAAUUGUUGAAACUGAAAAAUGAUGCUAAGAAGAGAGAGAGACAAUGAGACAUCAUAUUUUAACAUGGAAAACCUCCAAAGAGAUAAAAAACCAUCGGCCUACAAUCGAUCAAAAUCAUCCACUAUGAAGAAUAAAAAUUGAAUACAAGGUUUUACCUAACUCAAGCCAACCAAUCCUUCCCAAACCACUUGACUAGUAUGUUUCACUUUCAGCUUCUCACCUUCUUCUUUCGAAGCACACUUGGAGUCCACACCAAGCUCGAUCUUGGUAUUUUCUUGAACCCACACAAGAAGAAAAUGGGUUUUUGCAUAAAACUAAGAAAAUGAAAGAUGAAUGAUUUAGAAAUCAACCCGUGUUCAUUUCCAAAAAUUCCAUUAAAACAAAAUUUCUUGGAAAACUUGGAUAGGAUUUUCUUGGAGCAAACAACAUCAAAGAGAAAAUAAAAUGAGGAGCACAAGAACGGUUGUUGUAGUAUCUCCUUCCAUAAAUGGGAGAAAAUUGAUUUUAAAUGACAAAGAAACCCUUAAUCCAAGGGCUAAAAAUUGAUCUUAAAAACAUGUUAGUUGGAUCGAUCUGUCCCUAAACCUGGUUUGAUCCAGAAAUAGGGAAACAAAAGUCUUUUAGAAAAAAUAUUUCUCCCAACUUUUUUAACUCUUUUAAAGAUGAAAAAUAUGGUUGAUUUACAUUCAAUCACCACACACUCGGCUACAUACCUCCGCCUCUUAGCAAAGUCUUAAUCUUCAAAGGUCGAGUAGUAUGAAGAGGAAUUGGAAAAUCGAGUUAGAGGACAUUUAAGAAUUUUGUCCGAAAUUGCCAACCUAGCUAAACACUCACAAUCUUCCCUUUUGGAAAUUCUAGGACAAAACCCUUUACAACAUGAAUGAGUACAAGUAAGUAAGCCCCACCUACUUUCAUACAAGACCACUCACUUACCCACUCAAACUCACAACAUAAGUACUACUUAACCUGCAAUUAAAAUCUCACAAACAAAGCAAUUAGUAGAACCUGUGUGAAACAAUUGAAUAUCCAUAAUAUAUCAACAAGUAUAUCCAAAAAAUCCAAUGUAUAUUCAAAUCCAAAUGAGACACAAUCACAUAUCAACAUGUAUCUCAAAAUAUCCAAUAUAAAAAAUAAUCAUCAUGUGGAUAUCCAAUCGCCAAAAUAACAAUUAUAGUGUCUCUUCCACUUUUUGUCCCAAAAAGAGACAAAGGGCCACAAUUUCCCCCUUUAUAUCCAAGAAAAAAAGACAAAGAGAUGACAAUUCAAUAGCUGGAUAUCUAACAUACAAAUAAAAAAAUAUCCACAUUUCAACAAAAUGUCAAAUACCCAAAAAUCAAGUUUCCAUAUCAACAUCCAAAAAAAAUUUAUUAGAUAUAUACAAGAAUAUCCUCCUAAGUCCCAUCAUAAAAUAUAAGAAUCUCUCCAUAAAUCCCAUCACAUGGCUUCAAUUAAAAACUUUCAAAAAAGGCUUUAUCACCAUGAAAGCAUAUUCCAAGCAUGAAAAUGUAUGGAGACCACUCAAAACGAACAACCAAAGCCUAGGAUUAGCAUUCCUAGAAACCAAGAACACUCCAAGGAAAAAUGAAAUCUCAAACUAUUAAAACUACUGUGAGAGGACUCCACAAACAACAAGAAAAAUCCAUAUGAGACUAAUAGAGGAGAGAAGAAUGGGUAAACCAAACAAUAAUGGUUGUCGGAAAGCUUGAUUACAAACCAAGCUUGAGUAACUUGCCAGAAUAGAUGUAAACACUUGGAUGCAUAGAAAUAUGGACUAGAAUGGAUGAGAAGUGCAGAAAGAGGUAUCUGGCAUAAAUGGCCGAAAGAGAAAGUUGGCAACAAUGGUAGAAAUGCACAUAGGAAUUUUCAACAACAAAGAAUUGGAAGGUGUGUGCUGGAACUGAAAACAAGAAAAUAAGCACAGUGUAUUGGUUGUUUAGGUCACGAUUUUCGAUAGCACAUAUUGAAACCAACGUGACUAUAGUAAAGCCUCGCUGAAAAAGAGAAUCCGGUGGGAUUGGCUGGAAGAGAAAGGCUAGUAAUGGUCGAAAAUGAAGCCCGACAACAUUGGAUAGAGAUGAUGCAUAGAGAAGAAAAGUUCUCUUCUUUGGAAGAAAAAGCUUAAGGUUUUUUGAGAGAAAUGGAUGUGAAAGAAGUGCAUUUUUGGGGAUUUUGACUUUUUCAAAUUUUUUUACCUUUAAAUUAUGAAAAUACCCUUCAUCCAUUAAACCAUGAAUAUAACCAGCUGAGGGAAAAAAUGGAAUUUUUCACACAAGUGCAUAAGUGGUAUCAAUCUUGGUGGAUCGAUCUAGCUUUUGAUCGUGAGCUCUCGAUGAUACACAGUCACACAGGUUUGAAUAGGCCAAAUUUGAAAAAAAAAUGUGUGAGAGAUAAGGAAUAAGUGGUAUCAAUCUUGAUGGAUCGAUCUAGGUUUUGUUCAAGGGCUCUCGGUCACAAAACUGUGCACAUUGGAUCAAUCCACAAAUUCAGCAAAUCGAUCGACAUCCUACUGAAAAAUGACUUAGGCAAAAACUUACAAAAAAUCAUAAGAAACACACCAAAAAGCUUUCCAAAAACUGAAAAUUGAUCCGCUAAAGCUGAGAAAUAUUAGGAUGACACACUUAUGUUCCCAUCAAUGAGAUAGUAUUGAAUCAUAUUGAUUAAAAAUGCUAUCAAGAGCUUAACUUUAGACAAAAUUAAUGAACAUAGAGAUUGAGAAACCUUCCAAAAUUUUCAUAUGAAUAGGUAAAAGAACAAAUGAUUAUAAAUAUUCUAACAAAGAAGCUUAAGUUCAAAGAAGACUCGCUCAUGACACCAUAAAACAGUGAGAAUGUUAAUUACUUUCCACUUAUAAACCUAUAUCCACCCAUAAAGCAAAAAAUCAUUUUCAAGACACUAUUCUUUACUAGAGAAAUUCAAGAUAAUGUUCCAAGAAGUCAAUUUGCACAUCUCUUGGUCGGAUUUCUGUUUAACACGACCCAUUUACAUCCCUUUAACAAAGUUCAUACCUCAUUUGCUUUUCACAUUUAAUUUUGAAAUGAUUACAAAGAUAUAGACUUUACCCUUAGGAUCAAUUUUUGACCUGAGGAACACUAAGGAAACCUUUACAACAUAACAACAUAAGGAAUACCUUACCCUUGCAAUGGAAGCUUUUUAACUCUUGAAACAUUGCCAAGGAGCCAUAACCAUUCCGAGAAACUUCAUAUAUAUAUAUAUAUAUAUAUAUAUAUUUUUCUUUUCUAUUUUUCUCAUACUUAAUUUCAAAGAGAGGGCAAACAAUAAAGGAACGAUCUUCUCAACCACUCAAGGAAUUUUUGGGUGAUUUUAAUCACUCUUUAAUGCUCAUUAAAUAGGUAUAAGUCUACAUUUAGACUUUAAAUCACAAGGUUCAACCAUGAACUUUUACUCACUUAAAAGAAAUGAAGCUAACCUUUUUGUGGUUUAUCUAAUCAAAUCAACAUAGCAAGGAUUCAAUAUCAUGUUUAUCAAUCAAGCCAUGGAGAUAAAGACAUCUUGAAACUUUUAAGAUCAUUAUGAGUCAAUCUAAAUUUUAAACAAAACGAAUAAGCAUGUCACUCUCAUGAACUCAGCAAUUGUUGAAAAUUUAUGAAAAUUUGAGAAAAUAUUGAACCAAAACAACAAGAACAUCAACUUGGUGACAUUUAGGAGCUUAGAAAGACAACUAGGACUCAAGGAUACGCAAGAGAAUGUCUUAGACAAGUUCUAGAGAAAGUCAACUGAGUAUGCAUAAACCUGUGGAUUUUCUAAGGGAUUCAAACCUAGACACAUCUAAAGGUUUAGUGAAAAUAUCAGCAAUUUGACCAUCUAUUGGGAAAAACUCUAAUGAAACAACCUUUUCUUCUACCGAGUCUUGAAUGAAAUGAUAUCUAAUGUCCACAUGUUUUGACCUAGAAUGAAGAACUUGGUUAUUUGACCUAUCAAUAACAUUGACACCAUUAAAUUUUCUCCCCCUACUAAUCUUAACUUUUACAAUGGGAUGCUCUUUUUCAUUUUAAAACAACCUAUGUUGCAACAAGUGUUCAACAUAUGCAAUUGUAGGAUUUGCACACCCAAGAGAGGAGGAUGAAAGAGAUUUUUGACUAACAAUAUAGUAAUUAUCACAAGUUCUCAAGCCAAUCAUCACACAUACGUCGUUCAAGUCAAACACCUUGCACAAAUUUUGUGAAAAUUGGACAUUGAACUCACACAUUUGGCUUAUGCUAAUUAAGUUAGCCUUUAAACCUUCAAUGUAUAAGACCUCUUUAAGAUUAGGAAUGUUGGGGACACAAAUGGUACCUUUGUCUUUCACUCUAGCCGCAUUACCGUCUCCAAAUGUCACAUUUCCUCCAUCAAAUUCAAUGAAACUAGUGAAGAAUGAUUUAUUACCCAUCAUAUGGUGUGAAUAACCACUAUCAAGAUACCAUGGGUGUGUCUCACUAGCUUUAAGUGUGGUAUGGACAAUAAGACAUUUUAGCUCAUUUUUUUUCACCUAAUUUUGUUUGACAUUUAAGAUUUUUGUCUUUUAAUUCAAAGUGUUCCUUUUCACUUCACCAUUAUCAAAGAUCUUUGAGCUCUUCUUGGACACUCUCUUAUUCUCAUUUAACAACCUACCCUUCAAACUAUGAAAUUCAUUCAUGAGGUUGGUCAACUUCCUUUGAAAAUUAUCAAACAAUCUUGCAUAACAUCAAUUAAAAGUGUCCCAUUUUUCCACAAUGAUUGUAAUGAAAGUUGAUUUAGGAAUGAGUUUUCUUAGGAAAUUAUUUUUAGCAAUGCUUAACAAAAACUGUUUUACUACUACUUUGAGUAGCAUUUCCACCAAGAAAUCCUAAGCUUCUUUUAUCAAAAGAUUACGCCUUGAAUUAAUCAACUAGAGCUAUGAUGUAACUCUUUUUUUCCUAAUACUUAACUCAUCCUUGAAUAUUUGAUUUCCACUUUUCAACACAUCACAUUUUUUCUUCACUUCCAAAUGUAAAUUUUCAAGAAAUGCAAUUUUAUCAAGCAAAGCCUUCUUUUCUCCAUUUAAAACAACCUCAUUGGUUAAAAUCUUCUUAGAAGCCUUCCACUUGACUUGUUCUUGUUUAAGGCUCAAACACUCCUUAUACAAAGUAUCAUAUGCUAUGUCAAAACUCAUGUUAUCAUCAUUGGAGUCACUUGACUCACUUAACUCACUUGAAGCUUCUUUAAAGAGAGGUUCCUCAUUGACACUUGUAGAAAAGGCAAUGAAGUUAGUGUAUUCCUCACUUCCAUUGGAUUCUUUUUCAAUUAAUUGAUUAGACUCGGAGUCACUCUAAGUAACUUGCAUAGCCUUUUUAUUCUUUUUCUUUGAGGGACAUUCAAAUGCAUAGUGACCCUUUCCCUCACAUUUAAAGCACUCAAUUUUCAACUCAUUUUCACACAUUUUUCCAUCUUUUUCUCUUUUCCAAUUGAGUUCCUCCAUUUUUUUACCAUCAAUUGAUUCUUUCUUGGAUUUUCUGAAUUUCAUGUGCUUCUUGAAUUUUUUUUAGCAAACUUAGUAAGCUCACCUUUUGAUAUUUUCUCAUCAUCCUCACUUUCGGAACUUAGGGACUCUUCUUUAAUACCUUUUAAAGCAAUUCCCUUAGCUUUCCUAGGUGAUGCAAAGGUCACCUCAAAGGUUUGAAGGGAACCUACAUGUUCAUCUAUUUUCAAGGAACCUGCAUCCUUAGACUUUUCAAUGGUGGUGAUCUUAGCUCUAAAUCUUUCCAGGAGAGGUCUUAAAAUUUUUCUAACCACCUUAGAGUUAGAGAUGGGUUCACCUAGAUUGAAACUAGAAUUCAUUAUAUCCAUCAAUUUUGCAUGAAAUUCUCCAAAAGUUUCAUGAUCAUCCAUCCUAAUGGUCUCAAACCUAGAUGUCAACAUUUGAAACUUGGACACUUUCAUGACAUUAGUUCCUUCAUGAGUCACUUGGAGGAUAUCCCAAGCCUCCUUAGCUAAAGUGCAUAUAGCAAUCCUACAAAAUUCAUUCAUACUAAUGGCAUUGAAGAUGGAGUACAUGACUCUAACAUUAUUUUCACUAGUUUCACUUUCACUUCUAUCCCAUUCCAAUUUAGGCUUGACAACAUUUGUUGAUCUACUUUCUCUAUCCAACACCAUAGGUGGAGACCAACCAAAUUCAAUGACAUUCCAAACUUUUUCACUUUGCAUUUUGAGAAAAUAUUGCAUUCUCACUUUCCAAUGAGAAUAAUUUUCAUCGGUUAAAAAAUGAGGUCUCCCAAUUGAAGCACCCUCUUGAUGAGGUUCCAUAUUUGAGAUUCAAGGAUCAAAAAUGAUUUUUGCUUUAAAAACCCACUCUGAUACCAAUUGAAAAGGUGAAUCUUAAUAGUGGAAUACACUUAAAGGUGAAGGGAGAGAAGGGGAGAGGGGGUUGAAUAGGUGUUUUGACCAAUUCAAAAAAUCCUCAACUCAAAUUAGCAAACCUUAAAACUUUUUGAAUGUUUUUAUUCUCUUCACACAAUCUCAAAAACACAAAAUAUAAACUACAUGCAUGUAUAAAAGCAACAACACUCCCCAACAAUAUUAAAAUGAAAUUCACAUGCACAUGAUCCAAUACUCCCAAACUCAAAUCAACUUAAACUAAAUCCUGAUAAAAACAAGAUCAAUAUAUCUCAAAAUGUCAAUGAUCAACAUUCAGAAACAACUUUAAAGAUGAUUCAUAGCCAUUUCUCUUCACCAUUCAAUCAAAUAAUAGACAAUCAAAAUUAUAAUAAAUUGCUGAAACUAAAAACUGAUGCUGAGAAGAGAGAGAGACAAUGAGACACCGAAUUUUAGCCUGGAAAACCUCCGAAAAGAUAAAAAAACUAUGGGCCUACAACCAAUAAAAAACAUCCACUAUGAAGAAUAAAAAUUGAAUACAAGGUUUUACCUAGCUCAAGCCAACCAAUCCUUCCGGGACCACUUGACUAGUACCUUUCACUUUUAGCUUCUCACAUUAUUUUUCUAGAACACACUUGAUGUCCACACCAAGCUUGAUCUUGACCUCUUCUUGAAUCCACACAAGAAGAAAAUUGGUUUUUACAUCAAACCAAUAGAAUGAGAGAUGAAUGUUUCAGAAAUCAACCUAUGUUCAUUUGCAAAAAAAAUCCAUUAAAAACAAAAUUUCUUGGAAAACUUGGAUAGGAUUUUCUUGGAGCAAGCAACCUCAAAGAGAAAAAUGAAUGAGAAGCAUAAGAACGGCUAUUGUAGUCUCUUUUUCCAAAAAUGAGAGAAAUUGAUUUUAAAUGAGAAAGAAACCCAUGAUCCAAUGGCUGAAAAUUGAUCUAAAAAACAUGUUAGUUGGAUCGAUCUGCCCCUGCACCUAGAUCGAUCCAGAAACAAGGGAAUAUAAGCCUUUCAACAAAAAUAUUUCUCUCAACUUUCUUAACUCUUUUAAAGAUGAAAAACAGGGUUGAUUCAUAUUGAAUCACCACACACUCGGCUACAUACCUCAGUCUCUUAGCAAAGUCUUAAUCUUCAAAGGUCAAGUAGUCCGAAGAGGGAACACUAAAGAAUUUUGUUCGAAAUUGCCAACCUAGCUAAACACUCACAAGCUUGUUGUUGAAGAAUCAUUGGAGGGUUUUCUUUUCAUUAUCUAAUGAUUUUUAAGACUAUUUUUUUCCUUUCAAAAAUCUCUCGAUUGGAGAAGGGAUUUUAUCUAGUUACGUUUAAUUAUAACUAAAACAAGGGUGUUUAAUUUGUAAGAAAUUUGACUUCUUGUUUUAAAAAGUUUGUGAUAUGUAAGAAAUUCUUUUAAUUCUCUUCUUCAUUUUAAUUUGAUUUUGUGUAAUGCAAUUGAAGUAUAUUUCAAAUUUAGGACAUGAGUAUUAAUGAAGCCCACCCUCACAUAAGAUAAAAAAUAAAAACUAGAAAUAAAUGCAGUAAAUUCAAUUUUCAAAAUAGAAGUAUAGUUUUUUUUUUAAACAUGGAAUUUAUUAUUAUCUAUUUUUAAAAUAAAAAAAAUGUAUCUAAACAAAUAAUAAUGUAUUGACCAUAGUUCUUUUUCCAAAUCAAUCAACUUAAUUAAAACUUUACUAUCGUAUGGGGUCAGAGGUAGGUUGAUUCGAAGAAUUGUGGUGAUAUCCAUAAUAUUGAGGUAUUCUUUUGAUGCUUGAACCUGACAUCCCUUUUUUUCACUCCUAACACUUUAUGAAAAAGAACUUUUGUUGUUGAGUGCACUAAUGUACUAGUGUAUGUGAUGCACAUUGGAUAGGACCUAUGGUGAAUCAUGAUGUAAGACUAUCGAUUGUCAUGAUUUAUUAAGCUAUUAUAUUGCAUGGACUCUCAACUUUGAGAGGAUAUUAAGUCUAUGCCAAAGUCAAUAGAAGGCUUUGACCUAUGGGUGAAACCCCAAAGUGGUCACAUAUUCCUAUGAAUUUGGUCACUAUUGAUGGAGGUUGGUGGCAACAUGGAUUUUUCAAUAUAGACACCAUGAUAUCUUAUGGAUUGAGACAAUGUGUUCUAUCCAAUGGACAUGUGAUUUAGGAGACUAUGGUCAUAGCAUUUUCCUUAAUGAAAAUUUGACAUAUACUCUUUGGAAUUAGAGUAUGUCAAUUUAUAAUACAAUAAGUGGAAUAUGUAACUGAAGGAUUAGAAAGGUAAUCUUGAUAGGUGAUAUCACUACCUUGUUAGAUUACGGGCAUCAAUUCAUAGGAAGCUUGCAUGUAGUGGAUAGUAAGGCAUGAACCUGAACUUCGUCUCGUUGUUAUUUACAUAGGGUAUUAGAGUGCGGUUGAUUCUUUUUAGUGGAAUGUUGAAUCAACUUUAGAAAUUAAUUUUAAGAGAGGCAAUACUCCUAUAGGUCACCGCUCUUAGCUUAUAUACCAUAAUGACAUGGUUUAUGAGGGUUAGAAUGACUCUAGGUUCACUUUUGUGCAUAAGGAUAUUUUGGUAAUUAUACAAGGUUGAGUAAAGGAUAGUAAACAAGUUCUCUGCAUUGGACUAAUUGAUUAAUUAAAUGGUCCUAUAUGAUUAAUCAAUUAGGAUCAGUUUUGGGUUAAAUUAAGUGAUACAAGUUUUGGUGGGCUCAUGUCAUUUAAGCCCAAUAGGGGAACCUUAUAAAUACCCUUUAGGGGGUGUUUGGUGCAUAGGAAUGAGAAGUGGGAAUAGUAAUUUCAUUCAUUCCCUCCCUCAUUCCCAUGUUUGGAUAAAUUUUAUAAAGGUAAGAAUGUAAUAAAAAAUAAUUCCGGUAGAAAUCAAAUCCCACUUUGAAGUGGGAUUUCAAUUUAUCGUAAGUAGGUGGUAUUCUAACUCAUUUAUCCAAUAAGAAAAUAUAAUAUAAUCUAAAAUUACUAUUUUAUCCUUGAAUGUCAUUCAUCAAGCCUCGAUGCCUUUUCAUCCCAUAAUAAGACUAUUUUUUAGUCUUAUUAUUUAGAAGAAAAAAAAAAAGCUCUCAAUUUUUUUAAUGAAAAAAAAAAAAAAAAUUAUUGUAAAUUAUGUAAGGAUAUUAUAAUCAAUUUAUUUCUUUUUCAUUUUCAUUCCUAUUAUUACCAAACACUAUAAUGGAAACAAAUAAUCUUUCAAUCUUGAAUUCCUAAGUUCAUCCAAACCCUAGAAAUAGAAUCACCAAAUUCAUUUCCAUUCACCAAAAAAUAGGAAUGGAAACAAAAUAUUCAUUUCUAUUCCCUAUUCCUGUGUACCAAACACCUCCUUAGGGGUUAAGGUUUCCAUCACUUUUAGUAUGAGAGUCAUCUUCCACCUUUGAGCAGAGAAAGAGAGAGCUUAGGAUUCUUCCAUUCCAAAACCCAUGCUUUGAAAUAUCAAAAUCAUGAUUCGAGUCAUCGGGCGGAAGAUCUUGGGUGUAUAAGACCCUCAGAUUCUUCCGGCUUCAUCUUAACCAAGUGGAAUUGAUUUGGGAACAUUUAAAUCGAAGGUAAGUUUUUUAAUGUCUUUAAUCUAAAUCCUAAAAUGUUAAAAAAAAAUGUUAUUCUUCACUUUUGUUACAUAAGAUUUAGAGGCCUAGUGUAGUUAGCAUGUUUUUAUUUGAUCUAGGGUAUGAGAACAGAUAAAUCCAAGGUUCCCAGUAACUAACACCCUAACCAUAGAUCUAGCUUUUGAAAAUACUUUUACUUACACAAUCUAUCAAACAAGUUAGCAACGAGUGUAAUUAGGUGUCUAUUCUUACUUGUUACCUUGUUUAAUGCAUAAUAGUCAAUGAAAAUUUGCAGUAACUCAUCUUACUUCUUUUGCAAAAAAAUAGGUGCCCAUAUGGUACCCUUAAAGGUUAUAUCAAGCCUGAUUCUAACAAAUCCUUCAACUACUUACUAUGUUUCACUAGCUUUAAAAGGGGACACUCUAUAUGGAACUUGUAAGGAUACCUGAAUCUCUUAUUUCUCUAUACUCGAAUUGGGUUAAGAGCAUGAAAUUCUUCCUAGGGGCUCCAGAUCCUAGCAACAAAAGCAAAAGAUACAUUUUUAAAAAUAAAAAAAAUCUAGAUUAAUAGUUAUAAAAACCUUUAACUCAGAUUUGAACUUUCCUAAAUUUAUUCCUUUUGAUGUAGAUGGAGAUCGAAGUCAGAGGUCUCAAAUACUAAAAAUCUUCUACCCAAUGACUCUUCCUUGAUCAUGGUACACAAUUAAUGGGGAGGAUUAGAGGGUAGAGACUAUGACUCUCUCUCUCUAGAUGAUGGAAGACAACUCACUUCAAAAGUGAUGAAAACCCUAACCCCUAAGGGGUAUUUAUAAGGUUCCCUAACUAGGCUUAAAUGACUUGAGCUCAUCAAGAGCUUCGGUCAUUUAAUUUAGUCCAAAAUGGAUCCUCAUUGAUUAAUCAACUCAACAAGGCUUAUAUCAACUAACCCAAUCUAUGAACUUUGUUCACUAACCCCUAUACAACCUCGUAUAAUUACCAAAAUGCCCUUAUGCACAAAAGUGAACCUAGAACUAAAGCUUAUCCACAAAAUUCCCUUAUGCCUAAUCUAUCACCCAUUCCUUUCCAUUAUGAAGUUAUGGAAUAGGCUUCCAUCUUGUAUUCCACCAAGUAAUAUGUAACAACCAUUGCUACAUAUAAAUCUCUUAAAUCUUGUCACCUUAACUCAAUUUGAGCCGACCCAUGCUUGAAAGCUAGACAUGAAGUUGAACAACUUGUCUUCCUCAAACAAAUUCUUGGUUUCUAACAUCAAUAUUGAACUAAUUACUUCACAUAAUCCUUGAUAAUGCUUAUAAGCUUUAGUUUCAUAGGGGAUUCAAUUCUUUAGCCAUCCAUGCAUUGUUGGAGGAGAGAAAUUGAUCUUUUAGUUUCUUUUUAGUAGCUAGGUCCUAUCUUGAGACAUGAGGAUGCCUUGUCAUCUGUCGACAUUCUCCACCAUAGUUUGGUAUCACCAGCUAUGUACAUUAUUGUAAUGGAGAGUUAUUAUUUCUUCAAAGUAUGAGCAACUUUGAAAAUCCUCCUCCAUAUCUUAAAAGAAAUUCUCAAGAUCCUUUGCAUUGUUUACACCCUUGAAGUUUUUCAACUUAGGUACACUAACUUUCAUUGGAGCAUCAGAUUCAUCAAGCAUGCUUUGCACCACAACCUUUUUAAGCACGACUAGUUCAUUCUCCACAAACUAUAUUUUGGCAUGAAACCCAUCUAUGACUGUCAUGAAAUUAGUUUUGCAUUCUACAAGAAUUUCCUUUGCAAACUUAUCAUGUUCCUUUAGUAGAUUCUUUUAAACUUCAAAUUCAUAAGAGAACUCAUCCAUCCUAGGUAGUAGUCUAGACUUGGUGUCAACUAAGGCAUUUCUAGGAUACACCUUUAUUGAGCUACAUGUUCUCCCGAUGCUUCCAUAGAAAUUUUACCAUCCAUUAUCUACCAAAAAUCCUUGCUCCAAUACCAAAUCAUCACAAGAAUUCACCACCAUAAAUUUUUUUUCUCAUGAUGGCCUUGAGACUCAAUUUAGCUAGCCCAUCACAUAGCAACACAAGCCACACAAAAGAAGUACAAGGAACGCAUAGGAAAUCACUUCUCAAUUUGAACUAUUCCUGUCACAAUACAAGAAACCAAUGCUUACAAGAAAACAGAGGCUCUCUACAUUUUCCAUGUAUAAUAAACUAUUUAUAGGCAACUAGUGGCCAUUAGUUAUUCGAAGUAAUUGUCCAUAUUUUAGAGACCUUAGCCUAUGUUCUACCAUGUCUUAUCAAUUUCUCUAUGUUCAUAAUUUGUCCUCAGGUGUUGUUAGGUGUCUCACACACUUUAGCCUUCCCUUAGGUAGCAUAAUCCUAUGUUUCCUAAUCAAUAGGAAGUUGCCUUUCCAUGCAUUAGUUGCCCCUGUCUUUGCUGAUGACUAGGUGUAGUAUUUCCAUUGAUCAAAUAUCUUAGUAACUACCUUCACAUGUCAGCCAAAUGCCUAUGCUUUAUGCCUCAACCAUCUAGCCCCACAUGUCUUGCAUGCUCCCAUCCUUAGGCUUGCAUGCCUUAGCUAACUAACUCUAUGUGUCUCGCAUACAUGUACUUACAUGCUUAUUUUUGGCUUACCAAGCCAACCCUUGUUUAGCAUCAUAUCCUUUCAUCAUGUGAUGGGUCUCAUGACCUUGGUUAUACCUAAGGUUCAUGCACAUGGUGUCAUCCACAUGUAACCCAUGCACCAAGUUCAAAACAACUUGCCUUAUCUUGGCCACACUAACCACAUCCACUGUGUCAUGCUCUUUGCUUACGGUUUUGUGUCCACACUCUUAUGCCUCACCUAAGCUAUUGCAUACUUGGGUGUGUGCAAAUUCUCAUGGUGCCUUGCACUUGUUGAUGGAGUCUUGGUGUGUUUCUAGUGUGCUCCUGCCAUGCGCCCAUAAUCUUGGGUUACCUCAAGUAAGACUAACACCCCUCCCUAAAGAGCAUGAUCAAUAGGAGACAUCAAGAGUGCUUCCAUAAGUAUAAUAGAUUUUUUCUAACUAAAAUGAUCUUUUUUUUUUUAAAUACCCUAUCACUAAGAGAAUUCUUGGCCAUCAAGAAUGCUUCCAUAAGUGUAAUGUAUUUUUUUUUAAUUAUAAAAAAUCUAGAAAAAUACCCUAUAACUUAGAAAAUUCCUUUUAAGCCUCCAACAACUUUUGGAACCCAUCAAAGCACCAACACCGAACACUUGUUUCAAGUCCACAUGAGUAUGCCAUCACAUAUUGUAGCAUGUGGUCCCCACAAGUCAUGCAAUGCCUACUAGCAAUAUUGUGUUCACAUACAUACUCUGCAACUCAUGUCACUCAACCCGAUCCCUUAGGUUAUGUUUGAUUCCCAAAAAUGUUAAGAAAAGAAAAAAAAAAUUAAGAAAAAUGGGUUUCUCAUAUUUGGUUCUAUUAUAAAAAGAAAAUAUAAAAGAAAAUUAAAUAUAAUUAAAAUUAAUUUGAAAUUUAUAUAUUUUUGAAUUAUUUAAUCUUGUUAUUGUAGAAAGAAAUAAGUAAAAUGACUUUGAAAAAAUAUAUAAAAAUAAUUUAUCAAAUUUAAAUCUAUUUUUUAUUUUCUUCCACUUUUCUUCUCUAUUUUCUUUCCUUCACAUUUUCCCUCAAAUUUUCUAAACCAAACAUACCCUUAAUAUUGUCUCAAUCGAGUUCCCACCAAGACUUGGUCUUUGGAAAUGACAAGCCAUGCAUAUGUUUUCCAAGCCACAGAAUGUCAUUGGAAUUAAGAAAUGCAGCCACAAAUAUAUCUUAGGCCAUGUGUGAGCUGCCAUACCACAUAGCCGUACAAAUUUAUUAAUUAUUUUCUUGAUUAGAUUCUCCUGAAGGCAUGAUCCCGGGGCUUUAAUUUAGAGGAGAAGGUGCAUUCCAUCAUACCCACCCACACCUCUUUCUCACUCCUUUUCAUGCAUUAAAUGAUAUAAGUAUACUUAAAUUUUAAUUUCUCCAAACAGGUGGGCGCAAGUGAUGUGAGAUGGAGCAAAUAAAAUAGUGGGCACAUUUAACACGAGACAUAGACUUAAUGAAUAAUUAAUUAAAAAGUUAUUUUGAAUGGUCUGUCCUUUUCCUGCAAAGAUUUUUAACCUUAUUUGAAUCUUGGCGGUCCACAUGUGUUUUAAUUUCUUAAAAGACUUCCUUUUAGGGUGAGGGUGGAAAAUUUUGUUUAGUUCUUUAGGCGCCACUCUUGAUCAUGCUUCUAUUUUUAUUUUUAUUUUUAUAUUUUAGGAAUUAAAACAACUGCUACCCUAUUUGAUUAAAAGGAUUUGUAAAAACUCAAUUUUUGAAAUUUAAUUUUCUAUAAUUUUUUUGUCUUAUUUUGAUAAAAAUGUCAUCGUUAUUUUCUUAUAAAAAUAACAUUUUAUUUGAAAACUUAUAUGUAAAUACACAAAAUGAUAAAUGAUAUUUAUGUAAAAAAAAAAUAGAUUAAUUUAAAAAAAUAAAAUAUAAAAAGAGUUAAAUUCAUAAUUCGAGGGUUAUAUCAUUCAUUUUAACUAAAUAUUUCUAAUUAUAUAUAUUCAAGAAAUCAUAUUUUAAUUUGUCACAUCCACUGGACAUAAAGGUUAAUCAUAAAAGUGUAUUUUUUUAGUAUAAAAGUAAAAGAUCAAUUUCAUUCAUUUUUUCUAUGGUUUAGAAAAAAUGAAUGAAAAUAAUAAAUGAAAAAAAUAGAAAGUUGUUUGAUGAAAUUUCAAAUAAAUGAUAGUUAAAUGUAUUAAAUCAAAAUUUCAGAGGAAGUGAAUGAAAUUAACUCAAAAAAUUAUGUAAAUAUAUAAUAAUAUUUUAAAUUUAGAAUCUUGUAAAUUUUUUCUAUUCGUAUGGGGUUGAUAUGAUAAAAUAGGGUAAAAAUAUUUAUAAAUAGAUCUAAUACAUUAUUCUUUCACUUAUAAAUUGGAUUAGGGAAUGUUUGAAUUUUAAAAAGCUUAAUUCAAAAAUGAUAAAUAAAAAAAAAGGAAAAAACCAGGAAAAAAUACUAAAAUUUAUCACUUAUUUCAACAAAAUAUUUUGUGAGGAAAAAAAAAUUGUAACCUAAUACACUUUCUCCAUAAGAAAAAGGGAGACAAAGAUCUUAAGUUCUUGUUUGAUGAUGGUUUUUGAAAACAACUUUUUCUUUUUUAGGAAAAAUAAAACACGCAUAAUACCUAGAAAACAAAAAAAAAAAAAUUCUUAAAAACAAAAAAUGGAUUAUUUUUAAAGAAUAUUUUUAAUUAUAAAAUAAUUAUACAAAUAUUAUAUAUAGCAUUUAUCUUUAAAAUUAUAAAAAAAAUAUGUUAAGAAUAUUUGAGAUUUUCAAACAAAUUUUUAUUAAUACGUACCACAAUUUUGAGAACUUAUUUUUUAAACAGAAAACAAUUUUCACUUUCCAACUAGAGCCAAAAUCUCUAAGCAAUUUUUUUUGCCUUUAAUUAUUUUGUGUUUUUGGUUUUUUUUUUUUUUAGUCUUUUUCAUAAUAUCUAUAUUAAGAUUAUUUUUCCUUUCCAAUAAAUGUUAUGUAAAAAAUAAUUGUUCCUACUAUAUUUGAAUAGUAUAUUCUCUUAUAUUCCACGUCACCCCACACAACACCCUACCAUCCAAACAAGAGCACAUACGGUACCAACUAAACUCAGCCUUCAAAUUCUAUCAUUAACAAACCAAAGAUUGUUUUUUAACCAGCUUUAACCUUUAAACUUCAAUGAUCUCGUCAACUUGUUAGCCAUAAAGAAUUAAGAAUGAGUGGAAGCGCCUGUGGUAAAUGCCAUAAAACCAAAAAUCAAAUACUGAGACGUCUCUUUAUUAUUUACUUUAUAAACUUGCUGGUAUGAUGUGAUGCUCGCUUUCUCAUCUCAACCUGUUCAUUUCUAUCUCUUCUUAUCUCCUUGUUUCCUUUCGUAGGCUUGGGUUAUACGAUCAAAUAAAAUAUUUGGACCGUUUAUACUUAUAGUGUGGCUUUGGUACAUCGGCGGACCCCUUGUGACAAAGACCCAUUUCAAUUUUCAAUUAAUGGCUACGGACUCGUGCCCUUAAAUGCAUUGAUCCUCGCCACAUCCUCCAUCUGUUCAAUCACAACUUUUCCUUAUCACUUUUGUCUUCUCCGGUUCUGUUUCGAAUACGUUUCCAAUUUUUCUGUGUUUUUGUUUGGGUUUUGAAUAAUGGGGUGGGGUGGGGUGGGCGGAGUGACGUAACUGCUUAUGUUACAAGUGAACAGCCAAGACUGUCCUUUUAAGCUCCACCAGAUCCACAGCCUUUUGCAAACACCAAGUCUGCACCACCCUCUUACAUUAUUUGCUUCCUUGUCUGUCUGCAUCUUGUUUCCCCGGGCUCCAAACGGCGCUGGUGCAACUGCAGCAUUGUUUUGGGCGGUCCGGGAGCAAAUGGCGGAAGAGCAGCAGGUGCCGCUGUUGAAGAAGGUUUACUAUCAGAAUUGCUCAGGGUGUAGAGUGGAACAGCUUAAAGAGACCAGACGCGGUUUACCCAUUAGGGAGCUUGUUUCUAUAUGGAGUGUGGUGCUAUGUACUGGUAAGUAGUAUCGUUUUCUUUGAUCUCAAUCGUCUUUGCAUUAUACUAUGCCUUUUUCCGCAGCUAUUUGGUGGCUUGGUGUUGGAAGUUGAAAAGUAGAGAUGGGUGAAGGAGUGUAAGGUUAAGUGAAAAUGGGUACAUUUUGUCAAUCAAGAAAGAGCUUUCUGUGAAGCGUGAAGCUGAAUUUGAUGUCUUCUUAAUAUUUUCCGGAAAAGAUAUUUAAAAUAUUUGGUCAUAUUUUUGUUUUUAAGCUGUAUUUCAUGUACCUGGUGCAGAAAGGAGGAAAGCAGAAUCAUGGGCAGGUACAACUGAGUUGAUUUUCUAAUCGUUGAUUGGAAGAGAAACUACCUCUGGGUAUGCUCUUAGAAGGUGGAACAAAAGCAAUCAAAAGAGGGAGGAAAAUAAAAAAGUUCUUUGACAUAACAUAUUUUAUGGAAUGUUCUUUUUCCUUUUUCAUUUUGGUUACAACUGAGUACAGUUUCCAGUGGUUGAGUGGCUCUGCUUAAGGAUGAUUCGUAGGUCCAAUUUACUGGAUUGGGCUUAGUACCAGAUGUAGGGAAUUAAACCGAAUUCCCAACCCGUGAGAAACAAAAAAAUAGAGAAAACACACGCCAAAGAAAAAACAAUCACACACACAAGACAGUAUUUACGUGGUUCGGCAAUUUGCCUACGUCCACGGAAUUGCAGGGAUAUCACUAUUAUCAAGGAAGAAUAUAGAGUACAACCUAGCGGCUACAAUAUUCUCUAUAUAUAUAUAGCACGGCAACCCCACCAUACUAAAAAACCCUAAUUACAAAAGGUGGUUCCACAAUGGGCUAAACGGGCCCAACAGGCCUCAAUAAAUCUCCCAUUAAAAAGCCAUGCAAUAUUAUUCGGGUCGGGUCGUCAAACCAGAUCAAACAAAACUAGGCUCCACAAAGCCCAACAAAUCUCCCACUUGGAGACUAGUCCAAUCACCAACAUCAAACCGUUAUCCUCCAAGAAACAAUCCCUCAUCCUUACAACUCAUCCUCCUGUCCUCAAGCUAUAAGACCAAUUGAAGCUGCGCACAGCUUCAACUUCUCAAUAGUGACACCCUUAGUCAACAUGUCUGCAGGGUUCUUAGAUCCACAAAUCUUCUCAAGUAUUACCAGUUUAUCCUCAACAAGAUAACGGAUAAAGUGGUAUUUUGUUUGUAUAUGUUUCGACUUUGAAUGAAAAGCCGAAUUUUUGGCAAGAAAAAUUGCACUCUGACUGUCACUGUGUAGAAUGCCCAUCUCCUGCUUCUUACCUAAUUCAUCUAAGAAACCAUGUAGCCAAAUCAUCUCCUUUCCAGCUUCAGUUGCUGCAACAUACUCAGCUUCUGUAGUAGACAAAGUAACAAUCUUCUGUAGAUUUGAAGUCCAUGAUAUAGCUGUACCACCUAGAGUAAAAACAAACCUAGUAGUACUCUUUCUACUAUCAAUAUCACCAGCAAAAUCAGCAUCUACAUAACCCUGCAAUUUCAAACUUGCACCUGUGAAGCAAAGACAUGUAUCUAAUGAACCCUUCAGAUAUCUUAAAAUCCACUUGACUGCCUCCCAAUGCUGCUUUCUAGGCCUACUCAUGAAUCUGCUCACAACUCCCACUACAUGUGCAAUGUCUGGCCUUGUACACACCAUAGCAUACAUCAAGCUGCCAAUAGCUGAGGCAUAGGGCACCUUGCUCAUAUGGUCUCUUUCUUUUUCUGUCUUGGUGACUGUUCUUUGCUUAGUUUGAAAUGACUACCCAAGGGUGUGCUCACUGGUUUAGCUUCAUUCAUGUUGAACCUGCUGAGAACUUUCUUCACAUACUCUGACUGUGAAAGCUUCAAUGUACCAUUAGCCUUGUUUCUAAUGAUUCUCAUACCAAGGAUUUGCUUUGCAGCUCCCAAAUCCUUCAUUGCAAACUGUUUGGACAAUUGCUUCUUCAGAUUAUUAAUCUUCUCAAUGUCAGACCCUACAAUAAGCAUAUCAUCCACAUACAACAGUAAUAUGAUGUAAGAGUUGUCAAAGGACUUAACAUAGCAACAAUGAUCAACUUCACAUCUCUUGAACCCAAUUCUAUGCAUAAAAUUGUCAAACUUCUUGUACCACUGUCUAGGAGCUUGUUUAAGGCCAUACAAGCUCUUUCUCAGUUUGCAGACUAGAUUCUCUUGUCCCUGAACAAUGAACCCUUCUGGCUAAAUCAUGUAAAGGUCUUCCUCCAAGUCACCAUGAAGGAAUGCUGUCUUCACAUCUAACUGCUCAAGAUGUAAGUUUUUUGCAGCCACCAUUCCAAGUACAAGUCUAAUUGUUGACAUCUUCACAACUGGAGAAAAUAUCUCUGUGUAGUCAAUGCCCUCCUUCUGUUGGAACCCUUUAACAACUAAUAUGGCCUUAUAACGUUUGCUACCAUCAUGCUCAUUAUUUAUUCUGUAUCCCCACUUGUUGUGCAAAGCCUUCUUUCCUACUGGCAAUUCAAUCAGUUCCCAUGUCUGAUUCCCCAACAGGGAAUCCAUUUCAUCCUUCAUGGCUAACUCCCACUUGCUUGAAUUCUCAUCUUGCAAGGCUUCAUCAUAACACUCUGGCUCACCACCAUCAGUCAACAGGAGAUAAUUUAAAACAGGUGAAUAACGCUGCGGAGGUCUAAUGUUCCUAGAAGAUCUGCGAACUUCAACUACAGGUGUACUCGAUCUACCUGUGAAUUUACAUUCUCCUUAUCUUCUUCACCCCCUUUUUGGACAGUACUUUCAGUCAAUCCAUCUAAGUUGACAAACUUAGAUUUCUUUUGAUCUAUCUCUGUAACAUCUGACACUGCAGAUGACCUGUCUUUGUACAUAACCUGUUCAUUAAAUAUCACAUUUCUACUUCUGAUGAUUUUCCUGUUUUGUUCAUCCCAAAACCUAUAGCCAAAUUUCUCAUCACCAUAGCCAAUGAAAAAACAUAUUUUUGACUUUGCAUCAAGUUUACUACGAGCAUCAGAAUCAAUAUGAACAUAAGAAAUACAACCAAAAACUUUUAAAUGUGAAAACUUCACCUCUUUACCGCUCCAAACCUCCUCAGGAAGUCUGAACUCCAUGGGAACUGAUGGUCCUCGGUUUAUCAGGUAAGCUGCAGUGCUAACAACAUCAGCCCAAAAAGUUUUUGGUAGUCCAGCAUGCAUCCUCAUACUUCUAGCAUGUUCAUUGAGAGUUCUGUUCAUGCGCUCAGCCACACCAUUCUGCUGUGGUGUCCUAGGAAUGGUCUUCUCCAUCCUAAUUCCCUGUGCAGCACAAUACUCACUGAACCCUCCAUCUAUGUACUCUCCUCCAUUAUCUGACCUCAAACAUUUUACUUUCAAACCUGUUUCUAUCUCAACCAUGGCCUUCCAUUUCUUAAAAGUUUCAAAUACAUCAUAUUUAUUUUUCAGAAAAUAAACCCAUACCUUUCUACUUGAGUCAUCAAUAAAAGUGAUGUAGUACCUUGAACCUCCUAGGGAUGCAACUGGAGAAGGCCCCCACAAAUCAGUAUGUACUAGUUCCAAUUUUUCAGCCUUCGGUGUCCUGCUAGUUUUCAAUAAGCUCACCUUUUUUUGCUUUCCUAAGAUGCAACUUUCACACAUGUCAAAAUUAAUGGACUUCAAUUCUGGUAGUUUUCCUUUUGACAGCAACAUCUUCAUCCCUUUCUCACUCAUGUGACCAAGUUUGCGGUGUCAUAGGCUUGUAUCAGUACUUGCAUCAGCAACUGCAAUUGUGUCUCUUGGACAUGAGGUCAUACACAGAGUGCCAGACUUCUUUCCACGAGCCAAUACCCUAGCUUCCUUUGUAACCUUCCAAGUACCACCAACAAAUAGUAUUGCAUGUCCUUCAUCAUCAAGUUGUCCAACAGAAAUCAGAUUCCUCCUCAGGUCAGGAAUAUGUCGAACCUUCUCCAGUAACCAAACAGACCCAUUGGGCAACGAUAUCCGGACAUCUCCCAAACCCACAACAUCCAAGGCUGAACCAUCAGCCAAAUACACCUUACCAAAAUCACCUGCAACAUAAUUCUGUAUGAUUUCUCGGUGUGGAGUGGUAUGAAACGAAGCUCCUGAAUCCAAAACCCAAUCAUCAAGUGGAUUGUCUAUUGCAAGAAGUAAUGCAUCAUGUACCUCUUCUGUUACAGUAUUAGCAUAAUCAUCUUUCAUCUUCCUUCUAGGGCUUUUGNNNNNNNNNNNNNNNNNNNNNNNNNNNNNNNNNNNNNNNNNNNNNNNNNNNNNNNNNNNNNNNNNNNNNNNNNNNNNNNNNNNNNNNNNNNNNNNNNNNNGCUCCAAACCUCCUCAGGAAGUCUGAACUCCAUGGGAACUGAUGGUCCUCGGUUUAUCAGGUAAGCUGCAGUGCUAACAGCAUCAGCCCAAAAAGUUUUUGGUAGUCCAGCAUGCAACCUCAUACUUCUAGCACGCUCAUUGAGAGUUCUGUUCAUGCGUUCAGCCACACCAUUCUGCUGUGGUGUCCCAGGAAUGGUCUUCUCCAUCCUAAUUCCCUGUGCAGCACAAUACUCACUGAAUCCUGCAUCUAUGUACUCUCCUCCAUUAUCUGACCUCAAACAUUUUACUUUCAAACCUGUUUCUGUCUCAACCAUGACCUUCCACUUCUUAAAAGUUACAAAUACAUCAGAUUUAUUUUUCAGAAAAUAAACCCAUACCUUUCUACUUGAGUCAUCAAUAAAGGUGAUGUAGUACUUUGAACCUCCUAGGGAUGCAACCGGAGAAGGCCCCCACAAAUCAGUGUGUACUAGUUCCAAUUUUUCAGCCUUCGGUGUCCUGCCAGUUUUCAAGAAGCUCACCUUUUUUUGCUUUCCUAAGAUGCAACUUUCACACAUGUCAAAAUCAAUGGACUUCAAUUCUGGUAGUUUUCCUUUUGACAACAACAUCUUCAUCCCUUUCUCACUCAUGUGACCAAGUCUGCGGUGCCAAAGGCUUGUAUCAGUACUUGCAUCAGCAACUGCAAUUGUGUCUCUUGGACAUGAGGUCAUAUACAGAGUGCCAGUCUUCUUUCCACGAGCCAAUACCCUAACUCCCUUUGUAACCUUCCAAGUACCACCAACAAAUAGUAUUGCAUGUCCUUCAUCAUCAAGUUGUCCAACAGAAAUCAGAUUCCUCCUCAGGUCAGGAAUAUGUCGAACCUUCUCCAGUAACCAAACAGACCCAUUGGGCAACGAUAUCCGGACAUCUCCCAAACCCACAACAUCCAAGGCUGAACCAUCAGCCAAAUACACCUUACCAAAAUCACCUGCAACAUAAUUCUGUAUGAUUUCUUGGUGUGGAGUGGUAUGAAACGAAGCUCCUGAAUCCAAAACCCAAUCAUCAAGUGGAUUGUUUAUUGCAAGAAGUAAUGCAUCAUGUACCUCUUCUGUUACAGUAUUAGCAUAAUCAUCUUCAUUCUUCUUCUUAGGGCUUUUGCAUUGCCUUUUAAAGUGACCUGUUUUCCCACAAUUCUAGCAUUGUACUUGUUGGCCUGAUCUAGAUUUGCUUCUGUUCCGAUUAGAAUUUCUGGAAUUUGAUCUACCCUGAUUUGAAUUUCUGUUAUUACCUCUGCCUCUUGUCUCAAGGUUUAGGGCAGAACCAGAUCCUGAGGUUUCACUUGCAUCUCUUCGGCGAAUUUCCUCAGCCAGAAUUAAAUCUCGUAUAUCAUUGUACUUGAGCUUUUCCUUUCCCGUAGAAUUGCUUACUGUCAUCCUCAUUGCCUCCCAACUGUUUGGCAAAGAAGCCAAGACGAUCAGAGCACGAAUCUCAUCAUCAAAAUCAAUUUCUACAGACGACAAUUGAUUUGUGAUUGUAUUAAAUUCAUUCAGAUGUUGUUCUACUGAUGCAUUCUCUACCAUCUUCAAAUUGAACAAUUUCUUCAUCAGAUGCACCUUAUUGUUUGCGGACGGCUUUUCAUACAUACCGGACAAAGCCUUCAUCAGAUCUGCUGUGGUCUUCUCCUUUACAACAUUGUGUGCAACAGACCUAGACAGAGUUAACCUAAUAACUCCUAGAACAUGUCUGUCAAGAAGCGCCCAUUCCUCAGCCUUCAUACUCUCAAGUUUUGUCCCCAAAAGAGGCAGAUGCAAUUUCCUCCCAUAGAGAUAAUCUUCAAUCUGCAUCCUCCAAUACGCAAAGUCUGUGCCAUCAAACUUUUCUAUUCCAGACGCAUUUCCUGCUUCCUCUGCCAUUGCUCCCACUCAAACCUAACCCUAGGCUCUGAUACUAGUUGUUGUGCCAGCGAAAGCUUUGAUGCCAACAAUGUUAGUUCAAGAACACAAAGAUAAAACAAUCACACAUACGGUACACGAGGUUUUAACGUGGUUCGGCCAACCAUGCCUACGUCCACGGAUGAGAGAGAAUAAUUCCACUAUACAAUAAAGAAUAUUACAAAGGAUAGAACCAAAUACAACUAUUGGGUUCCCGAAACAUCCCAUGUUUCCCCACUACGAGCCCUCUCGCUCCACCAGGUACCUCCCGUUCUUCCUCACAUCUUUAUCCACCUCGUAUAGUCUCUAUAGAUCCAUCUCCAUUUCAUAACUUUUUUCCCCUCAUGACCUAGAAUAUUUAUAGAGAUAUUUCCAACAACCUUCCUUAUUUUAUAAGGAAGUCUAAUAUUACAAUAAUAUAUCAACCUAAAAAUAUUCUAUAUAAUAUUCUUUACAAAAAGGAAUCUAUACUAAUUAGGAAUUUGGGACACUUCCUAACAAUCUCCACCUUGGACCAAAUUACAUGAAGUUAAUCUUCAAUCUCUCCAUGACACAAACCUUUUUGUAUCAUAUCACCACGAAAGAGCAAUCGACUCCACCUUCAGUGAAAAUUCCUUUUGUUUUCAUCUUGUGUACUUUGUGAUCUUUUACUCUUCCAGAAAUCUUCAACCCAAGCUCUGAUACCAAUUGUUGUGUCAACGAAAGCUUUGAUGUCAAUAAUGUUAGUUUAAGAACACAAAGAUAAAACAAUUACACACACAGUACACGAGGUUUUAACGUGGUUCGGCCAACCAUGCUUACGUCCACGGAUGAGAGAGAAUAAUUCCACUAUACAAUAAAGAAUAUUACAGAGGAUAGAACUAGAUACAACUAUUGGGUUCUCGAAACAUCCCAUGUUUCCCCACUCCUUGUAUCCAUACCUUACUACGAGUCCUCUCACUCCACCAGGUACCUCCCGUUCUUCCUCACAUCUCUAUCCAUCUCGUAUAGUCUCUAUAGGCCCAUCUCCAUCUCAUAACUUUUUUCCCCUCCUGACCUAGAAUAUUUAUAGAGAUAUUUCCAACAACCUUUCUUAUUUUAUAAGGAAGUCUAAUAUUACAAUAAUAUAUCAACCUAAAAAUAUUCUAUAUAAUAUUCUUUACAAAAAGGAAUUUAUACUAAUUAGGAAUUUGGGACACUUCCUAACACCAGAAUCACAGAGUCAUUUGCAGCUUGGAGAGAAAAUGUGUGAGGCUGCCAAUCUGUUAGCGUGGGAGGCACAUUUAGUCUGAAGUGUUUUUAUUAUGAUUACCAGGCCAUUAAUGAGAUUGAAAAUUCUUCUUUCUGGCCAUUUGUUGAUAAAUAAUGGUCAACUAAUGCUGCCUAAGGACAUAGUUGGCAAGCAAAUUGUUGAUUCAGUCUAUGGAGUUAGCCUCCUUUUCCUCUCUUCAUGGAGAAACUCAUUCAAUUCAGAGAUACUGACUUAUCAUUGGUGGCCAGAUGCAAAGAUAAGUGGACAAAGUUUCCUCUGCCUCAGAGAGCAGAGAGAGUAUGGCAUUUCAUUGGAGAAUGCUCCUGAUUGGAGCCAGAUCAAGCCCAAUUAUCAAUUUGUACCUUUUUUCUCUGGGUCAUGUGGUUAAGAGCUCAUGAAGUUAUGGGUACUAUCAUCAUAUUUAUGUCCAAAAUCUUUAACCAUUUCAAGAUCAUGCUAGUCUUUAAUUUGGGGUUAUUUUUACUUGUUAUUAUACAUUCAAGAGUACCCAUAGUCCACCACUUAAGCCAUACAUUCAUUCUCUAAGAUCUCUUUCUGUUUUUGCCUUUUCAGCAUUGCCGAUAUCAUCUCUCUUUCCAUUCCUUUAUUUCAUGGUGAGUUUAUUUUGGAAUCCAUAAUUGUUAUCUUCCAGCUUGUUCUCAGCAUAAAUUAGGAAGAUGAUAGUUUAAUUCAUCAUUUUAUUUGCUCACAUUAGUCUGAAGGUGUUUAAUUACACUUUAAACCAGCCAAGAAAGCUAACAGUGACAUGAGUCCAGUGGCCUAUUUCAAGAAAUCUACAUCUUUGCUUUGUUUCAAGAGGUCCACAAAAAAAGAAGAAGGACCAGGCUGUCUGAACACUAAAGAAAGCGGCAUAUCAAAAUACAAAGUCAGGGGGGUAAAAGGUACCGUUUGCACAUGAUAGUGACUAGAUGCUGUAAACAGGGUCGAUAUAUCAACUAAAUAUUUUGCAUUAGUAGGUUGAUUUGUGGGAUUCAUAUUAACGUCGAGAUUUUUUCAGUAAUGUAAUAAUGUGAAACCUCAUGUCGAUUUUCAUCUUCGCAUUAGUUAGAAUUCAAGAUACUGAUAAUGUUGAGAUUUUGGAUCAUGCAUGCUAACAGCUCCUCUAUCUUUUUCCUCCUUUCUUUACAUUAAAUAAAUCCUCAAUUCAACAUCCAACUUCUAUAGCCAUUUGGAUUUCAGUACCUUCUUUUUUCCUGAUAAAAUAUACCAAUAAAUCUGUACUGUCUAUUUCUAAAUAAGACUUCCUUGUUUUGUUUUUAAUUCUCUGUCUGCAGAUUAGGGACUUCCAUAUAGCAAAAAGAGAGGAAGACAUUGGUUACUAUGCUGGUUAUGUGGGUGAGCCUGUUAUAUUUUCAUAGCUUCUAUGUUGGAAGUGUAUAUCCAUGGAUAAUCUCAUUUUAGUUCCAAAUAACGUGGUCCUAAUAAUCCCAUAAUAUCAUGAAGGGUCUGCAUUUAUGCUUGGAAGAGCAUUGACAUCUGUUGCCUGGGGAAUGGUGGCUGAUCGAUAUGGCCGAAAACCUGUUAUAAUGAUAGGCACUAUCACAGUGUUAGUACCCAGAAUUACCUAUGAAUCUCAGCUUGAAUUUUUCUGCAAUCAAGUAUUGCUGUUCGUUCAAAAGAUUUUUUCUACCUAGUUUUCUCACAACAAUCUUGUUUAUUUGGUUUCAGGGUUAUUUUCAACACUCUUUUCGGUCUUAGUGUAAACUUCUGGAUGGCCCUCUCUACAAGGUUUCUUCUUGGAAGUCUGAAUGGUGUACUUGGGCCAAUUAAGGUAUUUGUGUCAUCCUGCAUAUGAUUUUUUGAAUGAAUGUUUAGUUGUUCUAAUGCAUUUGAGAUAGUGGGUUUAAUGGUUUAGUUCACUGCGUAUCCCCCAAUGUACAUUUUCAAAUUUCUUCCAUGAUCAGGCAUAUGCAGCUGAAAUUUUCCGUGACGAAUACCAAGCUCUAGGACUGUCAACAGUGAGUUAGUCUUUUUUCUUUUUUUUUUAUCAACAGUUUUUUAAUUGUGUUGUGCCCCACCAUUGGUUCAUAAUGGGGAGUAUUAAUUUUAUUUUAGGUUAGUACAGCAAGGGGCAUAGGAUUGAUCAUUGGACCAGCUUUGGGAGGUUUCCUUGCCCAGGUACUUGUUUUUCCUUUCCUCUUAUGCAGAAAGAAAAUGAUUCCUGCAGAAAUUGCAAUUCAACAAUGUUGAAAAUUAGUAGCAGUUAGAAAUAGUAACCAACAGCAACCAAAAGUGAAAGUCUCAACAUUUUCAAAAUUAGUAUUUACAGAAUGAACUAUUAGUGAAAUGAGAUGAAUUAUACAUUUCAGAAGAGUAUGAAUCGGAUUAUUGAAGUCUCCACGCGUUUUUUGAAGUUUUUAUUUUUUGUUUCUCAAGUACUUUUUACAUUUUGCACACUUCUUUUAUGUCACCAUGUAUGCGAUUGGUUUAUAUCUCUGAAUGAUUUCAUAAUUCAGCCUGCAGAAAAGUAUCCGGAUAUAUUCUCUGAAGAUUCUCUAUUUGGAAGGUAAGCUUGCCUCAUUAUAGUGAUGCCAUUUUGCAUCUCAUUUCAUCAAUUUUCUAUUAUUUUUUUGGAAUUUGGAGUAUUAUGAUGAUCCAAAACAUUUAUCUGUGAUGCAGAUUUCCAUACUUCUUGCCCUGCCUGUUUAUAUCAGUUUAUGCAAUGAUUAUAACCGUUGCUUGUUGUUGGCUUCCGGUACGUUUCUGAAGCAGAUGUUUGGUUCCUUGGUCAUUUCUGUUUAGCCUUUCAGAUGCAUCUUAUUUUCCAUAAGAAAGAUACUUAUUCUUUAUUCAGGUUGAGUCAUCAUUGCUUAAUUUCAACCAUUUGUUUUUGCCUUUUUUUAUGCCACAAACAGAGCUUGAUUAUUAAGUAGUCUCUUUCUCACCGGUCAAGAUUGAUGUGAAUUUUUGUAAUGGAACUAGAGCAUUGUUGGAAUGCAUCAUUGAAAUGAUCUAGAAUUUCUUUUAGAAACUUUUGGCAUAAAGACUGUCUUGUGGACACUGACUGAGAUUCUAAGUGUUGUCUUCAUCGGAAGGGCAGGAGAUAAAUAUGAGGCUGUGAUACUAAUUCAACCAGGAAUUCAUCACUUCUCUUUUAAGCUCAUGCUCUGAUUGAUAUACAUCCAAAUAACAAACGGUUCUAGGUGUCAUUUCUCCGAUUUUAUUUCAAUGUGUCUUCAUGGUUUUUAUUAUCUAUGGUAUGUGACUAAAAAUUAUAUUACUUAGCAGUUGACACUCUCCUUCUCAUAAAAUUUUGUAAGCACAACCACUUUGAAUUCCUUGAUGUGUUAAGUUAUCCUCAGCAGUUUUUGAAAAGUAGCAUUUAAAGCCUUCUCCUUUUCUUCAAUCUGUUCAAGGAAAACUUAUUUUAUCCUCUUGGGCUCGGAAGCUGACCGACUGAGAACAGAAAGCUCAAAACUUUUGCUUAUUAUAGUGUUCAUAUAUGUAACCGCUCAUCAGUGAGAUGUUUCUAUGAUACCAUGGCUUCUUAUUACUGCGAUUCCAUGUCUAACAUCUCAAGAUUAAUGCAGGAAACAUUGCACACACACAAUGAAAACAAAAAAUCAAGAGAAGACUCAUAUGAUGCUUUGGAAGGGGCCAAUGGUGGGUCUAAUGCAAAAGAAAAAGAACAAGAAAUUGAAGGAAGUGAACCAACUUCUAAUGAAAGCCUCUUUAUGAAUUGGCCUUUGAUGUCUUCUAUCAUUAUCUACUGUGUUUUUUCACUACAUGAUAUUGCUUAUAUAGAGGUAUGCCUCAAACCUAAUUCUCAGUUUCUGGAAUAUGUUUUAAUCUUACACUUGUUGAGCCGAAAUCUUCUCCAUUAACAUAUCUUGGUUGAUAAUUGGUGUCAGAAAUAAUCUCUAGUUUGGACCCAUUAGUCCAUUCUAUAUGUUAUCUGGAUGAGCAUAUAAGCAUUAAUGAAUAAAUAAAACAUUCACAGUUGUUUGCUUUUUGUGACUGACCCUUUUGGUUCAUUAGAAAAUGUGAAAAAGAUAAGAUAAUUUUCUUUAUUGCUAUGGAUAUGUUAUAGAACAGAGCCUGUUAGAGACAAAAGCAACCAUGAUGGUGGACAUGUGUCUCUUCAUUCUGGAAACAAAAAUGUUUGAACAACUUCCGGUUAAUAUGUUUUCAAGAAAGAAUAUGCUCAACAUGAUGGGAAUGAACCACAUAAUGGGGAAGAAUGGCCACCAUAAUUUCUGCCACCACCAUUGUCACUGUGACCACCUACACUCCUUUGGCUACAAACAAUUUCUUGCCAUUGGUACCAACAUUACUACAACCAUAUCUUCAGACUUUUGACCGCCACAAUAUAAAAUAAAAAAAAGACACUCCUAGUUCACUUCUGAUCUUUUUGAUGUCAAAUCUACUAUAUCUGGCAACUAAAUUUUCUUUCUGCAGAUAUUCUCCUUAUGGGCUGUGAGUCCUAGAAUACAUGGGGGUUUGAGCUAUUCAACUGAUGAUGUUGGUGUUGUUCUUGCAAUCUCAGGUAUACUAGUAUCUAGUAUCUAGUUAUCCACCUUUUGGUAUCAAAACAUGCUGGAAAAAAAUUCACUCUGCUUUGCUAUCACUGAGGCUUGGGAAACACAUUUGUGAACUGAGAUUCUUUCUUGGUCCUUUUUCUUUCCAUUAUGAGAUAUGUCUAUGCUCCUUUACAAUUAAAUUCCAGUGGAGUUUAGCUUAUUUAUGAUGAUAGGAAGAUUAAGUUGGUUCUGUUUCUAGGCUGCUUAAAUUUAAGAGAGAAAGAAGAAAAACAAGUAAAGAAAAAGAAGUGGAAUGACAGUUGUUAAAUUGCUCUCCCCCUUCAUAAUAUUUCUACACAGUGAUGCUAAAAGUUUAAAAGUAGAAUACUGCCCUUGGUGAAUCAAAGGAUAUAAAUACACAAUUGAAAGGACUUUAUUAGGAACCAGGUAUUGGAGGUCUUACCCUUCUGCCUGUGGGUGUUUUUGCACUUCAAGUUCAUUCCCUUGAGGCACUGGACCUAAUUGAGAUAAUCAAAAAUGUUUUUCACAUUUUCUGGUGACAAUAUCCUUUGUGGUUGAAUUGAUGCAUACACGGUUUGUUUAUUGUGCUUUAUUUCAUGUAUUUCUCUCGAAAUAAUCAGGAUACUGAGUUACUGACUAUGCAUCUUAUAUUUAGGUUUUGGCCUUUUUGUCUCCCAAGUUACUCUAUAUCCACUUGUGGAGAGGUUUCUUGGGCCUGUGAUGAUCUGCCGCAUUGCUGGUGUAUGCUCCCAAUACCUUGUGACAUUCAGUGCAAUCUCUUCUUUCCAACUACUUUCAUGUUCUGUAUUCACUUAUUUUAAAAUUUUUGUAGGUCUUGUCCAUACCUUUGUUGGCGAGUUACCCUUUAAUAGCCAUGCUUUCUGGGUCCACCCUCUCAGUGGUGUUGAAUUGUGCAUCUGUGCUAAAGAAUGUUCUAUCUGUGAGUGAAUUUACAACUUGAAGGUUCUCUUCCCUUGCUAGUAACUGGAUUAUAGAUGUUAAUUGUAAGUCUGUCUGUUAGCAGAAGUAUGCAUCUUGAUAGAUUUCAACACACAUUCUUGAUCCUUCUGCCUCUAAACCUUCUACUUCUUGGCCUAAAAUUAGUAAUUUUGAUCAUCAAGUCAUCAAAUUAAGACUGAGUAACUAGGUCUUGAAGAGUGGGGAUGUGGGUUCUAUAACAGAUUUCUAUUGACAAUCCAUUCUGCUGCCAUGAAGUGGAAUCAAAAGAAAAAAAAAAUGUAAUAUUACAUGUUUGUAUGCAAAAUGAAUAGCACGGUUUAGUACGAUCUUAAUUUUCGUGUAAGAAUAUGAUGAAUGCAUUAAUUGAUCCUGAUAGUAAAUUUCCAACAGCUGUUAUUUCAUUAUCUUUUACUAGUAAACUUCUCAAUGUGAUCAGGUGUCCAUUAUAACUGGCAUGUUCCUUCUGCAAAACAGUGCUGUGGUAAUUUUCUCCUCUUGGUUUCUCCAGUUUCAUUUCUAUUUUUUGCUAAAAUAUGUAGUGCAUUGAUCUAACCUAAUAUUGUAACAACAGGACCAACACCAGAGAGGAACUGCUAAUGGCAUUUCUAUGACUGCAAUGUCUCUUUUCAAAGCAGCUGGUCCUGCUGGAGGAGGUGCACUGUAAGUACCAAUUUAGUGUCUCUUAACAUACAACCACUCACAGUAGGCGUCCACAAAAAUCGGACAACUAAAAUGUAAUGUCUGUUUGAUAUAAAAGAUCUUAUUUAUGAACUAGGUUGUGAACUACAAAAUCCAGAGAAUGUGUUUUAAAAGCGUCUUUCACCGAAAUCUUCAUGGCUACUGAAAAGAUACUCUGGCUGGAAUAUUAGGAUACUGAUACAAUAAGAAUUCCUAAUAUCAGACUGAAGUGAGAUAGCAGAUCAAGGGUUUUUUGUAGGUCUUUUAAGUGUAAAAUGGAAUAAUUUGAUUAGAAGGCAUAUUAAGACCUGCAAGAUAGAACAAACUUACAUAGGUUACAUAAAGGGUACUUCAUUUCAUACUUUGCUUAAUACAUUUGCAUGACAUACAUGGCAAUUGAUCUAUUUUUGGACCUAUGAUUAUUCAUGAUGUUGUUGGUAUUUGCAGCUUUUCUUGGGCACAAAAGCGACAGGAUUCUGCUUUCUUCCCAGGUAUAAUUCUGAAUUCAGGGGAAGUGCCCUUUCAAUUUCAGAUCAUCCACUCUUUGAAAAAAGAACCAUAAAAUGAAUUCCAGUUGAUGAUGCUUCAUCCAUUUCCGAUUCUGGUGUUGUAUGCAUUGUGGUUGUGAGCCUGCAGAUUUACUUACAUGCAGUUAGAAAUUUACCUUCACAGAAAUGUCCAAAGAAUGAUAAAUGACCAAAUGAUUCUGAACUCAGAACUCAGAACUCAGAACUACAAAUCAACAUCCUCCCCUGGCUAGUUGGAACACUGGAUAACUAAAAAUACCAUGCUAAACUGGGUAACUUUAUGGAACUAUGAAGCCUGAUUCCUCAAAAACUUUCUAAAAAACCAUGAUUUAUGUCUCAACAGUACUUCCUCCUUCAUUGGCUUUCUCAAACUUGCUGUGUUUCUCAUAUUUAUGGUCUUAAAACAUAAACAUGCCUUCCUCUUAGUAAGAUAACAAUCAUAGAGGUACAUUGAAUGACCCCAAACAAAUUAAUGAGGUCCAGCAACCAACAGGCCGAUGGCUAAUUUCUUCCUUUGAAAUAUCUUCACAUCUAAGCUCUUCAAAUGCAGGUGACCAGAUGGUUUUCUUAAUCCUGAAUGUGGUCGAGGCAAUCGGACUGCUCAUGACAUUCAAACCAUUUCUAGUUCAAAGGCGUCGAUAGAGGAAAAUCAGUCUGAUUCAACUCCAGGCCGUCAAGAUUAUCACCUCGAUCAGUAUGACUCUUUGGUAGCAUUGCACCUGUCUCCAUUCAUUAUGGGGACGAUAACUUGCAUCCUGUAGUAACCCGUUUGGGGGGUAUAUUAGAUCAACAACAAUGUGCCCUGUAUCUACUGCAUUUUGUACACCAGUAAAUUACUGCCUACCUGCAUAUUGUUCGACAUAUUUGGUUACCAAUGAGCACUUCAUGAGUUAGCAAAACUCUUGUUUGAUGUCUAAUACUUUUUUUGUUUCACUUAAUAUGGGGCAGCUCUUGAUGAAUGUUUGUGAACAUGACUUUAUCAUCUUCAUUUAAUUAGUUACAUUAUGUAUAGUCUUAAUUGAAAUCUAAAAUCAUGAAACCUAUCUUUCAUGU